CAGUGCUGCCAAGAUCAGUUUCUACGUCAAAGGGAAGAAGGAGACAUUUUUCUUCAAGAACAAGACUACACAAAUUCCAGAUCAAUCCAGACGUGAAUCAAGGAAGAGGACCAACAGGAGAAACAGGAACAAGCAAGUGUGGACCGAGUCAGCUAAGAUGGUCACUAUAGUCCAUGGAGGCCAAGAUCACCAACUGAAGUCACCGUUUUUUGACCAAGAAGGACGACCCAGGAAUGCCAAGCAUUUACUGCUCCAUAAAUGGAUAUAACUUCUACAAGACGAUUUGCGACACCAGAUCAGGCGUCAACAUAAUGGCCGCAGUCACCUAUCGGCUCUUGUUCGGGACCAUGCCACUAAGACCAACAUACAUUCAGCUCCAGAUGGCAGAUCAAACAUUUCGAGAAGUUCAAGGAAUAGUAUCUGAUGUCCCAGUCAAAAUAGACAAUCACUUUGUCUACACAGACUUUCAAGUUGUUGACAUGGGAGAAGACGAGUAUGAUCCACCCAUCAUCCUUGGAAGGCCGUUCCUCAGCACCGUUAAAGCAAUUAUCUACAUUGGAACCGGAGAAGUCCAUAUGCACUUCCCCUCAGAGAAGGUACGCCGUUAUUUUACUGACCCUAACUAUAUCGUUGAAGAAUCUAAGCAGGUCAGAAAGAGACGCAACCGCAACCAGAGGAGGCAGAUCAUCAAGGACGGAUGGGCAGACUAUGAAGGAGAAGUUGUAAGGUCAGAAGACGUAGAGUUUAAACAGAAUUAUCUAGAGGAGAUUGAAGCACCGAGUCAGGUAUGGAAAAUGAAGAUAACUAUACAAGAAGAGGAGGCGCUGCCGGAAAUACCGACUAUGCCACCCAACGAACCUCAGGACGAUUAAGAAAUUGGAGAGUCCCGUUCGGAGGACUUAAAAACACCGAACGCCUUGCCAAGAGGUAAACUUGGUAGUUACCCUUUCCCUUUUAAUCAUUUCAAUUAUUUCAAAUAGUUUACUUAGUUAAUCAAGUUCAUGCUGUCUUAAAAAGAAAAUAAAAAUAUGAAAAACAGUAAGCCCCAUGUGAGUAUACGAGUGGCAUAAAACCCAUAAGUACUUUCACUGUGGUGGCAUAAAAAUAAAAUAAAUAUUUUUCUGCUUUAUAAAAUAAAAAUAUAAAAACAGGGAGUAAUAAUUAUUAAGGAGUCUCAAGAUGAUGAAGACUAUAUAUUUAUGCUAACACUUAAUUAGUUCCACAAGCUUUGUUGUCUAUUUAAGCUCCACAGAAUUCAAGAAGACUAGCAGAACGAGGACAUUCUAAUCGCUGUCAGAAUGCUGCUGACUUUCAAAUACACCUCUGCCGCCUGCUAGCUACAUCAAGAGAAAUUACGUCAAAAUUCAGCUUGGGGGAGAGCACCCCCAUUUAUUCCGAUAAGUAUUUUUAUCUAUCUUUAUACUUAUAUUAUUUUAGAAUAUUAAAAUACACAUAAACUAUGGAAAAACCAAAUAAAGAUUUUAUGCUUAUAUAUGUCUUUUGCUUAGUGUGUUUAAUAAAUAAAUAAAGUGGCUAUGCUAAUCUGUAUCUAAAUAAAACUUAAGCAUGGAUAUGAUGAAAAGUUGCUCUGCCUAAUUUGCAAAUUUUAAGUUCUCUCUCAAGUUUAGAUAUAACUGUUAUAAUUUAAAGCUUGCUCUAGAUCUAAACUUGUGGGAUAAAAACAUGAUCUGAAGUCUAAGUUGUUAACGGAUACGAUAUGGGAAGGCUGAGCUGCUGUUUAUCUGUUCCUAGAGAUGCUAGAAUUCUGGAGAAUUUUAUCUUUGAAAAUCUUUAAAAUGUUGCAUGAUGAGUUCCUGUAUGAUGAGAGCUUAAAAUUCCUACCACAGCCAUAUAUACAUGCUUGCUAGACUUUGAGCCACACAUUUAUUAUUUACUGCUUAUGAGCAUUGAGUGUGGUCAAGCUGUGUAGACCCUUAGGAGCUUGUCAUGUGGUUAAAUCAAGAUUUCACUUACACGUUCACUCAUAUAUGCUACUUCUACUCCGGAAGUACCAUCCACAUAUAUCCAUUCAUUUCCAUCUCCAGAACCACCUAAAAAUAUUCUACUCCUAAUUCGGGAGAGAAUAACCAAAAAUAUUUCUGUUUUUCCCCUUGUGAAAUAAAUGCUCAAGUUAUCUUGUUACUACCACUUGCUAUAUUAUCUCAUGAGAUGAAUGCUCAAUAUUAAAAAAAAAAUAAUACGAGGAAAUAAAAAGGAGCAAGUGCUCGGAACCUCGAAAGAAAAGAAAAAGUGAGACGAGAGGUAAAAAUGGACAAGUGUCCGACAGUAGAAUUAGGGGUGCAAGAUACCCACCUGAGAGAAAAGAAAAAAGAAGAGCAUCUCAUUCUCCUCAUAAAGUUUCAAAAGCAAGGAAGGUAUGUAUCCCCUCAAAAGAGCAAAGUAGAAUUAGACUUCCACCACCAUUGUUUUCACCAUUGUUAUCACCAUCAUCACCAUAUACCAUUCAUUCGCCACACAUGCACAUCUUGAUUUGGCUUAUUGACUUGUUACUUUGGAUCCAUGGUUUGACUAUGCAAUAAAUGUCUUGUAAGUAUGUAUAUUUUAUCUCCCACCUAUGAGCUCCAGAUAUUAAAGCCUUAUUAGAGUAGGGUGAGAGAGAAGGCAAUGUCACUAUGCUUUAUACCACAAAUACCACAUAUCUUGAGAGAAGGCAUAUACCAUCAAUGCCUUGGUAAGGAUCCAAAAAUACCACAAAAGAGAGACCUGAGAGAAUCAUACAAGGAAUCUCUGAGUUUUAUUUGAAAAUAUGCAAAAAUCCCAGAGCUAUAGCUGAUCAAGAAUAAGAGACAAGGCACUUGGCUAGACUGUUCUAUCUUUUAACCACUCAAGACAGAAGUGACAGUUACAAGUCCCAUGGUGGAGGUAAAGUAAGUAAGUUUUAAGUCUUGACAGUUUACUCUAACUUAGAGAUGAGAUCUUAUUUAAAAGCAUGUGUACCGUCAAAUUUUUAAACAUAUUGCAACAACUUAUGAUCCAUAGCUGAGUCUAUCCUUGCUCAGGGACGAGCAAGAGGUAAGCUUGGGGGAGUUUGUUGACGGUCCUUAAGUAUCAAAUUUAAUUAUCAAAUAAAUAAAGAAAAGGAUCCAAAUGAAAUCAAGAUCUAGACUUAGGGUUUUAUCUGACAGAAUUCCACGAGUUUUGGUGUUUGUCUAUUUCUGCAGGGGGUUAUCAGGAAAUAUGGAAGAAAGGCCCACAUGUUAGGAUUACGUAAAGAUAUUAACGUGCUGCGCAAUUAUCUUACAUCUAGAAGACUCCAGAAGCCACGAGACCGAAGCGGAGGCGAAACGGGGCCAGAGGCAGGGCGCCCGCCCUGUCCUACUGGGCGCCAGCCCCCUGUCCAAGUCCAAUCAGGACUCUGCUUUGCGGGAAGUCUCCACCGACCUAAAGGAUGAAUCUAAACCAUACAAUCUAUGUCGGUUUGAUCCAAGGGCCCAUAUUCACUUGAAGGGACUAUAAAACCAGACCCCCUGGCCCCUGGAGGAGAGAGCCUCUCAACCCUAAUUCAUUGUUCCAUCAAGGGAGAAGAAGCCUCUGAUCGAGAUUAGAGCCACCACAUCAAUUAGAUAUCUAGAUUAGCAUAGCUACAUAGGAUUAGAACUAGAAGGAGUCAAUCUUCGAUUGGUUUCCGGAUCUGUCAAGAGGAUUCUUGGUAAUUCUCUAAUUGUGUUUCUAAUUACUUUCUAAUUAUCUUUGUUCUUCAAUAUUAUGAAUAUGACUUUGUUCUACUUCAAUAUAUUGCUUAUGACUUUGCUCUACUUGCUUAUAUUCAAGAUUAUAUUGUUCUUAGUUUAUCAUAGUUAUGUACUUAGCUUAGUUAGAUACGAUCUAUAUACAUGCUUAGGAUUGUAUAGCGUUUAUCCAUCGGAUCCAUGGGUAAAUGAUAGAUAUUGUGUAGGCGUGGUGCUUAUACCGUAUUUAUCUGCGAUUGUACCCAAUAUGCCAGAUCGUGGGGUAGUUCGUGAUAGUGACAGCUUCAUUGAUUCUUAUAUAGUCCCCCUCUCGUGUAUUGGGCUGGCAGAGCAACAUUAUUACAGGGGAGUGAUUGCUAUGUUUCUCAUAUUCCUUGCUAAUAUCACUAUGCAUGGGCGUAGUCUUGUCUUGCAAUGAUUGCUAAGUAUGCUUGCACUAAUUAUGAUAAUGCUAGACUAUAUAGUUGAGAAUAACUUAGGGAAUAUUCUUGUAGUUCGUUCUAAUACCAUGCUAAUGACUUUCUAGAGUAUCUAAUUGAGGUGCUUAUCAUAUUUAUUAUGUGGCUAGAUCAGAUUAGUUAUUCUUGUCACUAUUAUUAUUUCAUAUAUCUUUUAUGUGACACUUAUCCGUGUAUGAUGAGUUAGAUAUAAUGUUCUCAAUUAUACAUGCAAUGAUAGAUGCUCAAUCUCAUAUUCUAUUCUGUAAUCAUUAGUGAUGAUUUCUAAUCCCUUCCCAGUGGUAAAAAUAUAAAUAACGAUACCUGGAAUACUUCCCGGUUAAAAUGCUACAUCGGUAUUAAUCUGUGCGCUUGCAGAUCCCAUUCAUUAUUUAUUUAGAAGAGCAAUUGCAUAUUUCAAUACCGCGUCUCUUAUAUCAUGCUUGGGAUGACAACUUGGCUUAAGUGGUGUGAGGGAUAGGUUUGGCAUUUUUGGCACCGUUGCUAGAUUUAGAGAACUUAGUCUACUUUUAGUAAUGAUGUUAAGAAUACCCAACACUAACAUUUUCGAAAGGGUGGUUGUAGACACAUAUGCUUAUCAUAAAUAUUAUAGAUCUUGUUGUGUUGAUUCUUGAGAGUAGUGCACUUAGAUUGGUGUUGGAAGGGAAACCACUUCACCAAUCCACAUCUUGAAGGUUUCCCAAGGAUAAGCUUAGUGUCCUAAAACAAGUACUAUUUAAACCAUGACAUGAGUGAUCACCUUUCUACUAUGCUACCAUUGAGCAUAGAAUUAUAAUAGUGAAAAUAUUACUUUGGGUAUUCUUGUCACUAACCUUGCCAUGUUUGGAGCAAAAGAUCAAAGGAAUGACAAACGCAGGUAUGUCCAAUCAAUCAUUAUGCAACAUUGAAUUACAUUCAUCCAAUCUUGAUUAUUGCUAAAGUCAAGCUUGGGGGAUAUGCUACCAUAGAUACAUCUCUAGUCAUGUUUCUACAUCAUCUUGGUUGUCCCUACCUUUAAGUUAUGCUCAACUUGCUAAAGAAUAAUCAUGGUCUUUCAUAACUAUUUGAGUAAACAUCUAUAAUGCUUUCAUGUCACCAUUGAUUGCUAUAGUUUGCGUAGGCUUCGAAGUAUUUUCAUAUGUCUCUUGAAUGAAGCAGGUGCUUAGUUUAGGAGUGGUGAUCUUUCUUCAAAAGGCUUUUAAGUUAUGCGUAGUGCUUAGGUUAAAAUGUCUUCCUAUAUCAAAUUAGAGGUGGUGUCUAGGUUGAUUUUUGAGCUGAUAGUAUGCUAUAGUAGAUAUUGGACUAUUUUUUGUUGGACUAACCUGUGCAGGAAAACUACCAAAUCAAAAUUGGGAAAGUCCUAAGAUGAACUCACACUAGAGAUGAAGGGAUACACAACAGUUUUGUAUAAAGGAAACACAACUCAUUUCUAGCGAAGGAGAAAGAAGAAGGGUAGCAUCAAACAUGAUCCACAAACAAAACCCUCACUGCAUGGAAGUGGGUGAACAAAACUUUCCAUCACGCCACUUGGAGACAAAGAUCACGUGGAGGAAUUUGAGUUGCCGUUUUAGUUGCAUUCUCUUAUCAACCACUAAAUUAUUGAGAAUCAAGAAAAAAUGACAAGAGAAGAGCAAGCAACCUUCUGCACCCUCACCUCUGAGAUUGAGAGGCUGAGACAUGAGGAAGGAAGGCAAACUCCUCAAGAUGAUCCAACCAAGUUCUUCGCCUCUCAUGCUCUCAUCUCUCCACAUACUGGAAUAAAAUAGUAAAGAAGAGUUAAAGGCCCAAGCACAAAAUAAAGAGUGAAUGAAUGAUGGCAUAAGAUAAGAAAGAAGGAGUAUAAUAGAGAAAAUAGUUGGUGCAUUAAUAAAACACAAGACCGACCAACCAAGGAAAGCUUCCACAAGGUACUACACAAUCAACAUGCUUCAAUACUAAAGCUCCGACAACUAGUACUUCACACUUCAAACUGCUGGAAGAACAAUAAACAUGGGUGACACCAUCUCAAGAGGUGCAACUAUCAUGGUCUCGACCUUUGGGAGCAGAUAAAGAACCUAAGGAAUUAACAUGGUAAGAGGUCCUAUUCGAAGGACCUAAAAUACCAAACACCAUGCCAAGAGGUAACUUGAUAGUUAUCAACAUUUCCCUUUUUAGCACUGCAUAUUUAUUCUUCAGCAUAUUCAAUUUCCCUUAAAUGCAUAAUUAGUUGCAUAUCCACUUUACCAUUUCUGCAUUAGAGAAAGAAAAUAAUAAUAUGUCAUGCAUUGCAUCUAGAAAAUGCUAAGUCCCUUGUGAAUAAUUUUUGGUGCGACAACCCACAAAGAUAUCCACGGUGGUGGCAUAAAAAUAAGUUUUCAUCUUAGUGCAUUUUCUACAUACCAUAAAAGAUAAAAGAUAAAAAAAUAUUAAAGAUCCUGCUAAAAGAUAUAUGUGUUAAGAAUGUUCUAGACAUCCAAGGCUUAGAGGUUUAUCACUAACGCUUAAUUAGUUCCACAAGUUUUGCUGUCUAUUUGAGCUUCACAAAAUUUAAAGGAUCAAGAAGAGCUAAUAGGCAGAAGGACAGCCUAUCCCCUGCCAGAGUGUUGUCUUCAAUAGUGAGAGUAUUGUGUCAACAACAACCAUCCCUAACCCUCUAGGAGAACUAGUACGCCUUCACUGCCAGUUAGCAACACCAACAGACUAUGUCAACAUCUAGCUUGGGGGAGAGCACCCCUCGUGUAUCUAGAUAAGUAUGACUAGCUUAUUUAUUUAUUAAAUGUGUUAUGUGUUGGCAUUUCAUAGCGUCAUCACAAAAGAUAGACUAAAAUUUCAUCCUUGCAACAGCGCCAGAAAGCUUGUUGACUCCAGAAGUGGCAAACGGAAAUACCGCAAGCGUAUGAUAGUCAAUGUAGCUUUCACCGGGAGUAUUUGAGGUAUCGUAUUUACCACGUGGAACGUGAAGUGAACUAACUAGGCUCAAGGUCAUCCAUAGGGUCAAGGAUAAGUAAGGAUAGGUAAGUGAUCUCACACAGAUCCUAAUCUAAAGAUAAAUGGUAGAGAGCUAGCUAGGUGGGAGGACAAUGAGUGAGAAAAGACUCCUAUGACUCUAACUUUACUCGUAUCAACAAAUCUAAUCUAGUAGCGGACACACACUAACAUUGCUAAACUUAACUGCUUGUUUGUUGGAAGUCGACUGCAAUAGGAGGACGAAACUCCUAUACAAGAGGACUCAUUUCUUAUGGGCGCCUACAGACCGUACCCGACGUGAAUAGAACCUACUGGGAAGCAGAGGCCUAUCACGCUUCGCCGCCGCCCGCUAUCACGUUUGGUACAGUGUAUUCAAGGGCAGGCUUUAGCCUAAGCACCACACUUAUGCUAACUCCUACUACUCAGACUAAGUAUACGACCUAAUCCAAGCACCAUGUUACCGGUAGAGAAAACAACCCAAGCACUUAAGUCUAACUUAGCUAGUAUAUAACUACUAUAAGACAGACUAAGACACUACAAUAGAAUAUUGCACUAAGUAAAUACUAAAAGUAAAUACUUAGAAAAGUAAAGGAAAAGUAAAUAUAUUAAACACUCAAAGUUUUCUCGCUUUCAAACGAUCAUCAACAACAAGAUUAAAGUAUGAGAACUUCACUCAGCUUGAUGGCGAGUCAAUCGAUGCCAUGUUUUCUCGCUUUUAAAUGAUCAUCAACGAGAUGAGAGCAAACAAGGCACAACUACCUUAUGACGAUCAUGAGAGGGCUCUCAAGCUUCUAUAUGCCCUAGAUCGGAAGGUAUGGGAUGUGAAGGUGUCCGCCAUCAUCGAGUCUUCAAACUAUGACACCAUCACUGUGGACGAGCUGUUCAGCAAGCUCAAGUCCGCCGAGAUCGACUACCAAACUCAAGCCAAGCUCAAGAAUCCCUCUGCACCAACUAUGGCUUUAGUCUCAUGUAACAGUUCAAGUUCUUCAUCUAACCCUUCAAAGAUGUCGUUUGCCUUGUCUUAUUUGGUGUCUGUUUCAAAGGAGCAGUUAGAGACCCUUGGGGAUGACGAGGUGGCGUUGAUCAUCAGCCGGUUCUCGCGGUUCCACAACAACCGCUUGAACCGCCGUCGGGGCGGUGAUCAAAAGGUGGGCUGCUACAACUGUGGAGAUCUUGACCACUUCGUCGCCCACUGCCCCAAGAAGAACAAGCACUUCUCCGACAAGUACGGCUCCGGCAAACGCAAGGACAAGCAUGACUACACCUCCAAGAAGUACAAGUCAAAGAAGGGCUUCGACAAGGAGGCGCUCAAGAAAAUGUACAGCAAGAAAGCCAAGGCGCAAGAGUGUGCCUUCCUUGCUUUCCUCAGCGACCUCGACAACGACUCCGGCGAUGACCGCUCCUCUUCUCCCUCGAUUGACAAUGAGUCCGAGAGGAAGAUGGAGGAGAAGCUGACCGGUCUUUGCUUCAUCGCUGACUCCACUCACGGAGGAUUCUGCACCAUGGUGAUUGAUGAAGAGGUGAAGGCUAGCAAGGAUGAGGUCUCCUUCAAUGACGACACCUCCGAGGUACCUCCUUCUGUCGAUGACCUUGUCGCUGAGCUUGAUAGCAUGAAUAUCACCUUGAUUAGUCAAGAUAAAUUGCUUAAGCGUGCUUCCCCUGAGAGGAAAGAGUUUAAGGACAAGUUAGAGUUGGCGCUUAAGGAGCUUGAGGUUGCUAAGAAGUGUGCUGUGGUUGUGUCAGAUGAAGUAGAGUGCAAUGAGUGUGCUGUUCAUAUGUCUAACUUCUCUGAAUUGCAAUCUAAGUAUGCUGCUUUGCUUGAAGAGUAUGGUGAGCUGAAGGCUAGGCCUGUCUUGUUGGGUGCGUGCAAGUCCUCCUCGGGCUUGCAAUCUGAGCUGGCAGAGAAGAAUGCCAAGAUCUGUGAUCUUGAGAAGGCCAGUUUAGAUAGCGCCGCUGCUAAGUGUGCAUGUUGUGAGAGCUUGGUGCUAGAGCUUGAGUCUUGUAGGCACGAUAAGAUGAGAUCCGAGGAAGACAACACAUACCUUCGGUCGAUCUUGAGCUGGGUAUCUAGCAGUGAGCCACGGUUGGGCAUGAUGAUGAGCCAGUUCAGGAGGGGGACUUGCACAUCGGGUGUAAGCUUUGCUAUAGGUAGGAAGGGUGAAAAUAUUUAUGGCAAGGUGGGUGAGUCUAGUGGUUUGAGCACGAGUGAGAAACAUCCACUACUCCCAAGUUGAUCAAAUUCACUCCACCUGAGCCUUCCAAACCCACUAUCAAAGAUGGAGUGUUUGAAGAACCUCCAAAAGUUCCACCUCAGAAACAAGUAUGGAUUCCAAAACCUAACCAUCUCAGGAACCCACUUGACACUCUACCAAACAUCUCUGAGGAUCCCCGUCCUAAAGCCAAAAAGCCACCAAGAGUGAACCAUACCCACAAGAGAGUGAACCAGUAGCCACCCAAGAGAGAGGUAAGGUAUCACUGUGAGUAUUGCCAUAGGGAUGGUCACUGUUGACGGUCCUUAAUGCUCACAUUUAACCAUCAACUAAUCAUAGAAAAGGAUCCAAAUGCAACUAACACCUAGACUUAGGGUUUUAUUUGACAGAAUUCCACAAGUUUUGGUGUUUGUCUAUUUCUGCAGGGGGUUAUCAGGAAAUACGGAACAAAGGCCCACACGUCGGGUUUACAUAGAGAUAUUAACGUGCCGCACAAUUAUCUACCAUGUAGAAGACUCCAGAAGCCACGGGACCGAAGCGGAGGCCGAGAGGGCUCAGGCACUGGGCGCCCGCCCAACCUUACUGGGCGCCCGCCCUCCCCCCUGGACCAAACAGAGUCCAAUUCGGGGACAACACUCCACCGACCUAAUACUUCAAGGAAAACCACACGAUCAAUGUCGGUUUGAUCCGACGGCCCAGAUUCAAUUGAAGGGACUAUAAAACCAGACCCCCCUGGCCCCUGGAGAUCAUACCUCUUCUACAGAAUCAAAGCUAGGGUUUCAAUUCUUCAUCCAAGUAGAGAGGAUCCCUCUAGUUCUUCUAGUUCUAGUUCUAGUUAGUUCUAGUUGUAAUCUAGAAAAUAGGGAGAGAUAAGAGGAGAGCGGAGGAGGAGCCGGAUCUGUCGGAUCUUCCUCAACAUUAUACUUUUGCAGCAUCUGGUUCGUUCUUCAUCGUUCUCCAGGUUCUUCAAUUCAUAACUCCUGAGUUCUCUAAUUACUUUUAUUUACAUUCAAGUUAUUUAUUGGAUUCCCGCUUGCAUCAAGUGCUCUAGUCUUUAUAACGCUAGAGUAGUAAUUAAUAGAUUAAACGUGGUGUUUAGUCUUGCAAUUACCUGGAAUUGCACCCAAUCCUGCGGAUUGUUGUGGUAGCCUUAGGGUAGUGACAGCCCUAACGGUCGAUGUAUUCCACCACGUUCGGAUCGGUGUUUGUAGGACCGUAGUCAGACCUUCCUAGCCCCCUUCUCAUCUCUUUCUGUGGUUAAUGCUCUGAUGUCCCGAUAUAGAUAAUCUUAAAGUAAUUCUUGAUUCUUAGAUCAACUAGAGAACUCUCAGGAAACUUCCUCUCUUCCCACCAAAAAUAAUCAUAUUAGUUAUCCUUGGGCGAUCUUGGAUCUUAGUUAGUACACUCACGUUCCCUGUGGAAAAUCGAUACUCUGGAAUACUCCCGGGUGAAGGCUACAUCGGUAUCCGUGCGCUUGCGGAUUUUUCUGUUUGCGUUUAAAAUACCCAACAAGCUUUCUGGCGCCGUUGCCGGGGAACGGUAGCUGUGCUAGUUUCGAACCAAGUCGUCCGUGUAUCCUUUUUCUUUUCUUUUUUCUACCACACUCACCUUACCAUUUUCACCAUACCACAUGGAUUUCACUCUAAGCAUUAAUGAGCAUGGAAUUUAUUUCAUAGCCACUUCAUUUACUCCAUGCUCAUAUGCAACAUCUUCACAAUCCAUGGGUCUUUCCAACAUCACCACAUUCGAGAUCUCCAACCCCCUCAUCCUUUCUAUUUAUAAAAACUUUAAAAGGGCGGUUGUUGAUGCAUAUGUCUAUAAUAAAUUUUGCAGAUCUCGUUGAGUUUAUCUUGAUAUAGGUCAGCGUUGGAGGGGAAACCACUUCGCCGACAUAAAUUGAUGGUUUCCCAAGGACAAGCUUAGUGUCCUAAAACAAGCACUGAUCAGAUCGUAACAUGUGCUUUUAAUUAUUUGCAACAUUACCUUGUGUAUUGAGCAUAUAAAGAUAAUUGUAGAAAAAUUCCCUCGGGUAUUCUUGUCACUAACCUUUCCAGGAUUGCAGCAAGAAGAUCGGAUGAAUGACAAGUACAAGGUAUGUCCAACCAAUCAUCAUACAACAUUGAAUUAAAUUCAUCCAAACUUGAAUUUUGCAAAAUUCAAGCUUGGGGGAGUACUUUACAUAAAAAACAUCCUUUGCCAUGUUGCUAUGUUGAUUGUCCCUACCUUUGAGACAUGCUCAAUUUGUUAAAUACUAAUCACACUACUUUAUCUCCACUUGAGUAGAUCUCUAUAAAUGCUCUCAUGCUACCUUUAUUUGCUUUAGUAUAUGUCUAGGUUUGGAGUAGUUUCAUUUAUCUCUUAAUUACGCAUGGUGCUUAGUUUAGGGCUCAUGAUCUUACUUCCAAGGGAGUUUAAAUUAAGCAUGAUGCUUAGGUUAAAAUGCCCUCCUAAAUCAAAUUAGACAUGGUGUCUAGGUUGAUCUUUGAGCCGAUAGUAUGCUAUAGUAGAUAUUGGAUAUUUUGUUGGACUAACCCCUGCAGGAAAACUUUCAAUAUCGACCUGGGAAGUCCUGAGAUAAACUCACAUUGGAGACAAAGAGAGAGACGCAUGAAGGUUAACAAUUUACACAAGGAAGUCAUAGCUCACAAGAGAUGAUCCAUGGAGGGUGCCACAAACACGAUGCACAACCGCUAAGAGAGGAAAGUGUUGACGGUCCUUAAGUACUAAAAUUAAUAAUCAAAUAAACAUGAAAAAGGAUCAAUAUGAAACAAACAUCUAGAAUUAGGGUUUUAUCUGACAGAAUUCCACGAGUUUUGGUGUUUAUCUAUUUCUACAGGGGUUUAUCAGAAAAUAGGGAGAGAAGGCCCACAUGUCAUGUUUACAACGAGAUAAUUACGUGCCGCGCAAUUUUCCUUGAUCUGGAAGGAUCCAGAAGCCACGGGAACGAACGAGAGGGGAUUCGGGCUCGGGGGCUGGGCGGCCGCCCACCCCCCUUGGGCGCCCGCCCAGGUGGAGAGUCCAAUCAGGACUCUGCUUCGGGACAAUCCUCCACCGACCUAAAGGAUCAAUCUAAACCAUACAAUCUAUGUCGGUUUGAUCCAAUGGCUCACGUUCACUUGAGGGGACUACAAAACGAGACCCCCUGGCCCCUGGAGGAGAGGAGGAGAAAUCAUUAUUCAGAGGUAGCCAUCAAAGUUAGGGUUUAGAGCUUCUCUCCCACAGAGAAUUAGAAUUAGCUACUCCCUAAUCCUUCAAGUUUAGAGGUUUGAUUAGAUAGCAAUUAGAGAAGUAGAGCACUACGCUCUGGAUUCGGAUCUUCGGUAAUAAAGAUUGGUAUUAUUCAUAUCUUUCUCUAAUUCUAUUGUUCUAAUUGCAUUAUGUCUCUAAUUAUUAUGUUCUUAGUUUGCUCUAGUUCUAUAUUUGAUAUAGUUCUAAUUGAUAAUGAGUUUAUGUAUAAGUUUGCAAAGCGCUUAGCUCUUGUCACGAGGGAGUUAGGUGAUAGAUCACAUGUGAGCGUGGUGCUUAGAUGUUAUUUAUCUGCAAAUGUAUCCUAUUGGCCGAGUCGUGUGGUAGUUCGCGAUAGUGACAGCUUCGUUGAUUCUUAUAUAGUCCACCCUCCGUUGAUAGGACAGGCAGAACCGGUAUUGUGGAGUAAGUCAUGCGAUGUUCUGAUUUACUUUAUCAAUGUUCCUUAUACAUGAAUGAAGAGUCUUUUAUGCUAUAUAUGAUCUUGUAGAUAACUAGAGUAGAUUAUGACUUAGUAGUUAGUAGAUAACUUAGAAUCCAUUCUCUAGCUAAUCCGACAUCACCUACAUAUAUGAGGAGUAGUCUAUUUUCUAAUCGCUGUGCUCUUUACCCCAUGAACUUAUACUUUAUUAUCAUUAUCUUUAUGGUUUACCCCCUGCUAAAGUAUGUGACUGUGUGACGAGUUUCUCAUUAGUAAUCAUGUUCUUGCAAGUUUAUCUCUAGUCUAUGCCUUGAUAGAUUUUGCCCCCUUUGAUUUAAUUCCAUCUUCCUCAGAUCCCUAAGCAAAAUUAUAAAUAACGAUACCUGGAAUACUUAUCCUGGUGAAAUGCUACAAUGAGGUGUUUUAUCUGUGCGCUUGCGGAUAGAAUAGAUUAUUUUCUAGAGAGCCUUUACAUUUAUAAAUACCUUUGUACACUCUGGCGCCAUGCUAGGGAUGACAACCUAGUAUCUAAGUGGUGUUAGCUAGUGUCAACAAGCAUUUCUGGCGCCGUUGCCGGGGAGUUACGGAGACAUGUUAGAAUUAUAAGAAUUAUAUGAGUCUCAGGAAUAAGUCGUAAAAGGGGAACAAAGGAGUAAUAUUGAGGAAAGCCAGAAAAUCAAUCAAGGUUAUUCAUAUAAAAUUUUAGACUAGACUAUAGAGAAAUAAUUGCAUAAAACAACUACUAAGUGAGAAAUCAUAACAAGGCACCGCUGCUUUGGCAGGUUCACCCUGUUGUUUUUCUAUGUUUAUAUUUUUAUACAGGGUAUAACAGGAUUGACUUUGGGUACAUUCAACUCUUCAUCAUCAGAACCGAAGCAAUCAAGAGAAGAAGAAGCUAGUUACCAAUUGCUGAAGCUAUGGCACAAAAGACCUUGCCAGAAUUCUCUGCUCCAAGUCUUGAGAACAUUCCAACUGGUCCAAGAUUUGCAGUAGAAGAAGGAAUACCUGAGUUUGAGCUCAAGUCAAGCCUCAUCAAUUUGGUACAAGCUACACAAUUCAGUGAAAAGGCACAUGAAGAUGCCAGUGCACACUUGCAGAAUUUCUUAGAGAUUGGAAGCACAAUCCACAUCAACGGAGUUGACAAAGACGUCAUACUGCUUCGCCUUUUUCCAUUCUCAUUAGAAGGAAAAGCGAGGAAGUGGUUCUACACUCAUCAAGAUAACAUCAACAACUGGACGAACUUGUCAGAUGCCUUUCUAUCAAAGUUUUUCCCUAUAGGCAAAACAACUGCCUUAAGAGGAAAUAUUGUCAGUUUCCAACAGCAGAAGACAGAAGCCAUUUCAGAAGCAUGGGAGCGUUUUCAAGGAUACAUAUCAGAUUGUCCUCACCAUGGAAUGGCCACAUGGUUACUUAUGUAGACCUUCUACCAUGGAUUAACCCAGAAGGCUCGUGAGUGCCUAGAUGCAUCUGCUAAAGGAUCAUUCUUGGAGCUUACAACUGGAAAAGCAGAGAUACUUUUGGAUAAGAUAGCAGAAAACCAAAGCUGGUUCCAAGAUAAAGCUCAACAUUGUCAUCAAACUGAAGAAAUACUAGAAGAAAUAAAUGCAUUAUCAACUAAGAUGGAAAAUUUGCUCCAUUGGAUUGACCAGAGGGCCAAGUUCAAAGAAGAUCAAAGGGCCAUUGAGACAGCAUACAAAUAUCAACCAACUUCGAGUCAACCCAAUAGCAAAGGUAUGAAUUCAGGUAAUACUGUCAAGCAACUUUCAUUAAAAGAGAUAAUUGCUCAACAAACCAAAAUUAAUGAUGAAGUUAAACAAAGGCUAGAUACAAAUGAAUCAUCUCUAAAAGAUAUACACAAUAAAAUGGAUUUUCUACUAACCGCCUUUGAUGAGCAAAACACUCUUAAUAAAAGGGUAGAGCUUAAAUUAAUAAAGUUAGCUGCUGCACUGCCUGUUGCUACUAACAUUGAGCAGGUAAAGAAUAUAACUACUAGAGGAGGUAAAGCUACCAGAGAUCCACCAUACCCAAAAGAGAAACAAAGAACAUCAGCACCAGUGCAACCAGCAGUAAUAGAAGAAGAAAGCCCAGUUGAAGCAGAAGAUCUGCUCCAACCACCAAGAACUGGAGAAAUGAGGAAAGAUUUUUACGACACCAACUAUUUUCCAUUUCCCAGAAGAAACAGAGCACUGCAGUCGGAUGAGCAGUUUGGUAAGUUUGUAGAGGUCAUUCAGAAAUUAUAUGUCAACAUACCUCUGCUCGAUGCCAUACAGGUACCUACAUAUGCAAAGUACAUCAGAGAUAUUCUUAACAAGAAGAGACCACUGCCCACCACUAAGGUUAUCAAGCUGACGGAAGAAUGUAGUGCGGCCAUCCUCAAUAAGCCACCAAAGAAGAAGGAAGAUCCCGGAUGUCCCACUAUAGAUUGCUCGAUCGGAAACCAACACUUCAACAAUGCACUUUGUGAUCUCGGAGCAAGUGUCAGUGUGAUGCCAGUAUCAGUCUACAAAAAGCUUGAGCAUGCGACCUUAGAACCAACAUCAAUGUGCCUACAACUAGCGGAUCAAUCGGUUCGACACCCGUUGGGCAUCGCCGAGAACAUUCCAGUCAAGAUCAGAGAUUUCCUGGUGCCAGUAGACUUCGUAGUACUGGACAUGAGUCCUGACUCAAAAGUGUCCAUCAUCCUUGGAAGGCCAUUUCUGAGCACUGCCAAUGCCCACAUUGAUGUCGGGAAGGGAGAAAUCAAGUUCAACAUAAACGGUCAAGAAGAACACUUCACAUUCAAACCCAGACCAGAGAGAGACUCUACAGUGAAGGAAGUUCAAGAAGAACAACUGGAGACACCAUCUCCAGAGGAAGGUAACUCAGAAGAUUAAAAGAUUUGGAGGUCCAGCUUGGGGGACCUAAAAAUCCCAAACCCUCACCGGGAGGUAAAUCGGUAUUUAUCCGCAUUAUCAAUUUUCUCAUUCUUGCAUAAUUAAUUCUUGCAUUAGUCAUAGCAUUAUUAUAAUAAUCAAAAAGCCCCAUAUAAAUAAUAUUUGUGGUGUGUAACAACCCAUAUUUAUUAUUGUGGAGGCACAAAAAUAUUUUCCAUUAUCAUUUUCAUUAAGUUUCGAUUCUCAUAGAUUUUCCUGCAUUAUAUUUAAUCAUAUUAAUCUUCUAGAAGCAUGACCCACACUCUUUGGGUCCCACAUGUCAUACACUUCACCUCACAUACAUCCCAUCACAUAAUUUCAUCCACCAAUAUAUUUCCACUCACCUGACAUCUUUCCACCGUCCAACCACCACCAACACAACAUUAUUUUGCGUGAGAUCAAAGCAAGGAAGCAAGUGGAGGAAGCACACCCAGGAUGGACACCAGGGGUGGGCGCCCGCCCACCUACCUUGGGUGCCCGCCCUGUCCCCUGCUCAGCCUAUAAAAGGCCACCUCCAGCUUUCCUUCUCUUCACACAAACACUUCAGAAAACCACACAAAUCUCAAUCUCCCGAGAAGGAGCUUUUGUAGUGAAGAGAAGAGAGUAGAGAGAAAGAGGAGAGUGGACGAGAAAGUUGGAGUUCUUUUGAGAGAGUGUUUAUCACCUAGCAAGUAGUGAUCCCGCUGUCUAAGCGGAAGUAAAAGUUGUUUAGGGGGAGGCUCUACCAAAAUAGAAACUUGUCUUGAACGAUUAACCCCUGGACUACUGACACUCCCGACAGCUGACCACUAACAUUUUAUCUCACAUUUUCCACCAGUUGUGUUUUUGCCAACUUUUGUUUGCAGGAUGUUUAAGAAGGUGAAGAAUGCAGGGAAGGCUCUCAAGAACAUUGGUACAAGGAGUUCAUCCCGACACUCCUCACAACCAUCAGAGAUGAGUGUCGACCCGACACCCACACAAGCUCCAUCAUCUUCAUCAGGCCAGCAAGUCAAGGUCCUUCUCAAGAUAGGAGACCUAGGACUGAAGACCCGAAGAGAGAAGGAAGUCUAUCAGCAACUGAAGAACAAAGAUUUCAUUCACACCCCUACUAUCGAUCCAAUCCUACUACGAGAAACAGGUAUGGACACUGAAUUUGACUUAAUUUUUCAAAUGAUGGGUUGGACAAAUUUUUGGAAUAUAACUGAGCUGGGUUCUCGUCUUCUCACCCUCGAAUUUCUUUGUACUUUACAAUACUAUGAGGGGGGAAUUGUUUUUCGGAUGUUUAAAUAGGAAAUUAUGCUGUCUUGGAGAGAGCUGAGCGACCAUCUUGGUUUCUCUUCAAGAUGCAUCCUAAACAUCGACUCCGAUUUACCCAAUUUUGAGAGACACCAGUUUUGGAGAGAAAUAUCUAGAUAUAAGUUUUACAGUCAAGCCCGAACCAGUGACAUGGAACACCCCACUCUUAGGAUGUUUCACAAAUGGCUUGGGUACAAUCUUUUCUAUCGUGACGAUAUUAGGAAAGUAAGAGUAGGAGAUUUACAACUUUUAUAUGCUGCUAUUAGUAAAGUACCUACUUCACCUGUUACACUAUUAGUUUCACAUUGGCUUAGUAUACCUAGUCUGCAGGGACCAGUAGGAUGUACUUCACUUAUCACUCGUCUAGCCACUAAUCUUCACUUACUAGAAAACUCAUCAUUGGACUUCAUAGGAGAAUUAAGGAUUUAUCAUGGCUAUGACACAUUUAGACAAGCUCGGAUGUUAAAGAAAGAGGGGAAUAUAAUGUAUAUGCUAUAUGAUGAUAAAGGCAAGAUUCGGUUACCUAACCCGAACCUUGGCCUCUACUCUGUGCAAAACUUUUUGAUUGAGAUUGCAGCAACACCAGUGAACCAGAGAACUCCACAGCGAGUGGCAUCUGAAAGGAUAACCACUCACCGAGAACGCACUUGGUAUGGAGCUGACCCUGGACCAGAAGAAGCAGCGCACCUGCAUUAUUGCGAUUACAAUCCACGAGUCCUUCGAGACCCAUGGGCUCGAUAUGCACAACCACAAGAGCCAACAGAGGAGACAUGGCCGGAGAGCCAAGAUCACCAGUGGACAAACCCGCCUUUUCAUACGUGCAGGUACUCCACUGAUCCAUAUGGAGCUUCAGGAUCCAGACCUCCACCCCAAUUUGAUGCAGGACGAUACUCCGACGCCUCCUACGCCUUCACGAAUGACUACUAUCAAGAGGCCGAUGCUUUCUUUACUCGUACCGACAACACCCUCCUCAACAUCCAGAACACGCAAGCAGAACAUGGAAGACUCCUGGAAGAGCAACAAAAAUGGAACCAGGACCAUGCCGCUACAGUAGAAGAGCUGAGACAAGAUACAACAACAAUGAACGACAACAUCACAACCAUGAUGCGAUUCUGGAACAUCGGGUAAGACCGACGUCAACAUCCAGCUUGGGGGAGUUCCUCCCAAAUUUAUCAAGUAAGUUUUUAUUUGCUCUUCUUAUUUAUUCUAUUCUGUCUUAGUAUUUAAUUUUACCGACGUCAACAUCCAGCUUGGGGGAGUUCCUCCCAAAUUUAUCAAGUAAGUUUUUAUUUGCUCUUCUUAUUUAUUCUAUUCUGUCUUAGUAUUUAAUUUAUCUUAAAAGGAAAAGCUUAGAAAACCAAAUAAAUAUUUUCUUGCUUUAAUUUACUGCACUUUAUAAACAUGAAAACAAAAUAAAAAGAGUGUGUAGAUAAGUGUGCUUUAUCUUCCUGCUAAGUUUAAUCUCUAGAAAAAUAAAAAGACCAAAAAUAUACAUGAUGGAAAUGAUGAAUAGUUGCUCUGUUUGCUCACUUACAAGUACCUAGCUUUUAUAUUAGAAUUCUUCCAGGAAUUACUAAAACUAAAAUUACUAUCUUUGGGAAAGCAUAAACUAAAGUCUAGGUAAGAGAAAGGCAUGAUAUAAAGUUGAGCUACUGUUUAUCUCGUUCCUACUACACUAAAUUCUGGAGAUUUAUUUUUGAAAACUUACAAAUCACAUGAUGAGUUCCUAGCAUAACAAACUACCUACCACAGCCAUACUUGCUAUAACAUCUUUACUAUAUUCACAUUGAGUUUGAUCGAGAUGUGUUGACCCUUAGGAGCUUUUCAUGUGGUUAAAUUAAGAUAUUCACUUGCACGCAUCUACCACAGCAUUCAUUAUCAAUCAUUAAAAUUGCUAAAAAUAUUAUCACUCACUGUCCCGAAUAUUGUUAUUCUCUCUCUCUAAAAAGAUUCAAUGCAGAAGAGGCAUGGGUUAUGCAAAAAAAAUAUAUAUACGAGGAAAUAAAAAGGGGCAAGUGCCCGGAACCUCGAUAAAAGAAAAAGAGUGAGACGAGAGGUAAAAAUGGACAAGUGUCCGAAGUAGAAUUAGGGGUACAAAGAUGCCCACUUGAGCGGAAAAAAUGGACAAGUGUCUGACAGUAGAAUUAGGGGUAUCCACUACCCAUCUAAAAAAAAGAUAGCCCAUGUUCUCCCAAAGCAAAGAUCAAAGAAGAGGAGAGAUAGCAAUAUGAGGAGCAAUGAGAAGUAAAUUUUAUUAUCACUUAUGCAUUUUCACCAUCACUAUCAUUUACUCCAUCACACAUGCACAUCUUGAUUUAAUUAUAUGCUGAGUUCCUUUGGAUCCAUGGCUCGAUUAGACAACAUAUGUAUGAGCUGUUUGCACUCCUAAGAGCUCCACUUAAUUAUUCUAUUAGCUAUAGGCAAGUGAUAUUAUGGUAAGGAUCCACAAAUACUACAUAUAGAGAGACUUGAGAGAAUCAUUGCUGGGAACUCUGAGUUUUAUUUUAAAAACUUAUGAAAAACUCUAGAACAAAGGUGAAGUAUAGACAGGAGGGAUAGUGCUUGACUUAACUAUUUUGUCUUUCGAUUACUUAAGACUUAAGUGCAGGUACUAAACUUCAUAACACUUCACUGUAAUCUGGAAGAAUUUUUAUGUAAAAGCAUGUGUGCCUGUCAUGAAAGAAAACAUCGAAGCAACUCCUGAUCCGUCUGAGUUUAGCUAUUUGCUCAGGGACGAGCAAAGGGUAAGCUUGGGGGAGUUUGUUGACGGUCCUUAAGUACUAAAAUUAAUAAUCAAAUAAACAUGAAAAAGGAUCAAUAUGAAACAAACAUCUAGAAUUAGGGUUUUAUCUGACAGAAUUCCACGAGUUUUGGUGUUUAUCUAUUUCUGCAGGGGUUUAUCAGAAAAUAGGGAGAGAAGGCCCACAUGUCAUGUUUACAACGAGAUAAUUACGUGCCGCGCAAUUUUCCUUGAUCUGGAAGGAUCCAGAAGCCACGGGAACGAACGAGAGGGGAUUCGGGCUCGGGGGCUGGGCGACCGCCCACCCCCCUUGGGCGCCCGCCCAGGUGGAGAGUCCAAUCAGGACUCUGCUUCGGGACAAUCCUCCACCGACCUAAAGGAUCAAUCUAAACCAUACAAUCUAUGUCGGUUUGAUCCAAUGGCUCACGUUCACUUGAGGGGACUAUAAAACCAGACCCCCUGGCCCCUGGAGGAGAGGAGGAGAAAUCAUUAUUCAGAGGUAGCCAUCAAAGUUAGGGUUUAGAGCUUCUCUCCCACAGAGAAUUAGAAUUAGCUACUCCCUAAUCCUUCAAGUUUAGAGGUUUGAUUAGAUAGCAAUUAGAGAAGUAGAGCACUACGCUCUGGAUUCGGAUCUUCGGUAAUAAAGAUUGGUAUUAUUCAUAUCUUUCUCUAAUUCUAUUGUUCUAAUUGCAUUAUGUCUCUAAUUAUUAUGUUCUUAGUUUGCUCUAGUUCUAUAUUUGAUAUAGUUCUAAUUGAUAAUGAGUUUAUGUAUAAGUUUGCAAAGCGCUUAGCUCUUGUCGCGAGGGAGUUAGGUGAUAGAUCACAUGUGAGCGUGGUGCUUAGAUGUUAUUUAUCUGCAAAUGUAUCCUAUUGGCCGAGUCGUGUGGUAGUUCGCGAUAGUGACAGCUUCGUUGAUUCUUAUAUAGUCCACCCUCCGUUGAUAGGACAGGCAGAACCGGUAUUGUGGAGUACGUCAUGCGAUGUUCUGAUUUACUUUAUCAAUGUUCCUUAUACAUGAAUGAAGAGUCUUUUAUGCUAUAUAUGAUCUUGUAGAUAACUAUAGUAGAUUAUUACUUAGUAGUUAGUAGAUAACUUAGAAUCCAUUCUCUAGCUAAUCCGACAUCACCUACAUAUAUGAGGAGUAGUCUAUUUUCUAAUUGCUGUGCUCUUUACCCCAUGAACUUAUACUUUAUUAUCAUUAUCUUUAUGGUUUACCCCCUGCUAAAGUAUGUGACUGUGUGACGAGUUUCUCAUUAGUAAUCAUGUUCUUGCAAGUUUAUCUCUAGUCUAUGCCUUGAUAGAUUUUGCCCCCUUUGAUUUAAUUCCAUCUUCCUCAGAUCCCUAAGCAAAAUUAUAAAUAACGAUACCUGGAAUACUUAUCCUGGUGAAAUGCUACAAUGAGGUGUUUUAUCUGUGUGCUUGCGGAUAGAAUAGAUUAUUUUCUAGAGAGCCUUUACAUUUAUAAAUACCUUUGUACACUCUGGCGCCAUGCUAGGGAUGACAACCUAGUAUCUAAGUGGUGUUAGCUAGUGUCAACAGAAAGCUUCCACAAGGUGAUACUAUACCAUCACUCUUCAAGUAAGGUAAUAUCUUAAGGUACAUGACUAUCACUUUUAUAAGUUUCUCCUUGGUUCUGGCGUUCACAUGAGCAAAAGAGACAAACAUGUAUGAUUUACAACUCUAGAUUAACCAACCCAAUAUAUUCAACAUGUUUAGUCCUUCCACCUUUGUGAUCCCACACUCCUAAUCUUAUGAACUAAAAUGUUGCACACUCAAUCUUUGGAAGAUAUAUUUUAUAAAAAAAACAACAUAAAUAUAGAUAAAUUAUCUUUCCAUUAGGUUGAGCGAUUUGAUCUGACAAAUGUUUUAAAUGCUACACUCAUGAUCAUAUUAUUCAUCAACUUUGUCUUGCUCACUAUGCUUAAGGAUAGAGAAGAACAAAUACACUUUUGGUUUUGUUGGUGUUUUCCACCAACAGGGCCCAUGCACUUGAUCUCUGCCUUGUCUAUGAGCAGGUACACUUCGAGUAAAAUAUGAAGGACUUUUACAAUUCCCAGACUCCACCAAGUGAAGUACCUAGAUCUACGAGCACAAACACACUGGAGAUACUGGACACUCAGGCAAUCACUGCCCUGAGAUGCUUGAGGACGUAACUACUGGAGUAACCCCAUUGUGGAAGUAAUUACUGACCUUCUGCUGGUCAAGAGAGACAACCCAGGAUGCCCCGUCAUCCCGAUCUCCAUCGGCAUGGUGGACUUCCUAGAAGCACUCUGCAACUUUGGCUCCAGCGUCAACAUUAUGCUCAGGGUACUCUAUGAAAAAUUCUUUACACAUCCUUUCCUAGAAACAACCAUGUGUUUGCAGCUUGCAGAUCAGACACUAAGUUUCCCAAAGGGAAUAUUGAAGAACCUCUACAUCCGAGUUGGUACCUUAUACGCUCCAGCAGACUUCGUGGUGAUAGAGACUGAUACUGAUGAGAGGGCACCCAUCAUCCUAGGGAGGCCAUUCCUGAACACCUCGAGAGCUGUCAUCUACGCUAGUGCUGCCAAGAUCAGUUUCUACAUCAAGGGGAAGAAGGAGACGUUUUCCUUCAAGAACAAGACUACACAAAUCUUAGAGCAAUCCCGACAUGAAACAAGGAAGAGGACCAACAGGAGGAACAAAAACAAGCAAAUGUGGACCAAGUCAGCAAAGAUGGUCACUGCAGUUCAAGGAGGUCAAGAUCGUCGACUUAAAUCACCGUUCCUAACCAAAAAGGACGACCCAAGUAUGCCAAGCAUCCAGUGCUCCAUUGAUGGAUACAACUUCCAGAAGAUACUUUGCGACACCGGGUCAGGCGUCAACAUAAUGGCCGCCAGUCACCUAUCGGCUCCUAUUCGGAACCAUGCCCCUAAAACCGACAUACAUUCAGCUUCAGAUGGCAGAUCAGACAUUUUGAAACAUUGAAGGUUAUUGACAUGGGAGAAGACGAGUACGAUCCACCCAUCGUCCUUGGAAGACCGUUCUUUGGCACCAUUAAAGCAAUCAUAUACAUUGGAACCAGAGAAGUCCACAUGCACUUCCCCUCAGAGAAGGUACGCCACUGUUUUACUGACCCUAACUAUAUAGUUGAAGACUCUAAGCAGGUCAGGACAAAAAGAAGAUGACGCAACCGCAACCAGAGGAGGCAAAUCAUCAAGGAUGGAUGGGCAGACUACGAAGGAGAAGUUGUAAGGUCUGAAGACAUACAACUUGAACAGAACUGUCCUGAGGAGACCGUAGCACUGAGGCAGGUGUAGAGAGAGAAGAUAGUUAUACACGAAGAGCAGGCACCGCCGGAACCACCGACUACGCCAUCCAGCGAAUCCCAGGACGACUAAGAAAACGGAGAGUCCCGUUCGGAGGACGUAAAAACACCGAACGCCUUUCCAAAAGGUAAACUUGGUAGUUAUCUUUUUCCUUUCAAUUAUUUAAAAUAGUUUGGUUAGUUAAUCAGGUUCAUAUCAUCUUGAAAAGAAAAUAAAAAUGUUAAGUAAGCCCCAUGUAAGUAUGCUCAUGGCAUAAAACCCAUAAGUACAUUCACUAUGGUGGCAUAAAAAUAAAAUAAAUAUAUUCUUGUCCUAUAAAAAUAAAAAUAUAAAAAUAAGAUUGUGAUCCUACUAAAAAGAGUGUAACAUUUAUUGAGGAGGCUCAACAUGAUAAAGGCUAGAUAUUUAUGCUAACACUUAACUAGUUCCACAAAGCUUUGUUGUCUAUUUGAGCUCCACAGAAUUCAAGGAUCAAAGAAGACUAGCAGACGGAGGACAUCCUAAUCGCUUUCAGAGUGCUGCCGACAUUCAAAUACACCUCCGCCACCUGCUAGCUACAUCAGAAGAAAAUUCGUCAAAAUCCAGCUUGGGGGAGAGCACCCCCAUUUAUCCAGCUAAGUGUUCUACUCAUCUUUAUACUUUACUGAAAUAAUAAAAAGAUGCAUAAUCAUAAAAACCCAAAUAAAGAUUUUGUGCUUAUAUAUAUAUAUCUUUGCUUAGUUUGCUAAAUAAAUAAAUAAAUAAAGUUUGCUAUGAACCCUCAUGAUAAGCUCUCACAUGGAAAUAAUGAAUAGUUGCUCUGCCAUGAUUAGUUCUAAAAAUUGAAACCUCUCUUAAGUUUAGGCAUGACUGUUAUUAAUUAAGAUUUGCUCUAAACCUGAACUUGUGGGGAGAGUACUUGAUCCAAAGUCUAAGUCGUUAAGGAUACGAUAUGGGAAGGUUGAGCUGCUGUUUAUGUGUUCCUAGAGAUGCUAGAAUUCUGGAGAAUUUUAUCUUUGAAAAUCUUUAAAUUGUUGCAUGAUGAGUUCCUGUAUGAUGAGAGUUUAAAUUCCUACCACAGCCAUAUAUACAUGCUUGCUAGACUUUGAGCCACACAUUUACUUUUUACUUCUUAUGAGCAUUGAGUGUGGUCAAGCUUUGUAGACCCUUAGGAGCUUGUCAUGUGGUUAAAUCAAGAUUCACUUGCACGUUCACUCAUACAUGCUGCUUCUACUCCGGAAGUACGCAUCCACAUAUAUCCAUCCAUUUCCAUCUCCAGAACCACCCAAAAAUAUUCUACUCCUAAUCCGGGAGAGAAUAGCCAAAAAUAUUCCUGUUUUUCCCCUGUGAAAUAAAUGCUCAAGUUAUCUUGUUACUACCACUUGCUAUAUUAUCUCAUGAGAUGAGUGCUCUAAAAAAAAGAAAAAAAAAGAAAAAAAAUAUAUAUACGAGGAUAUAAAAAGGGGCAAGUGCCCGGAACCUCGACGAAAAGAAAAAGUGAGACGAGAGGUAAAAAUGGACAAGUGUCCGAUAGUAGAAUUAGGGGUACAAGAUACCCACCAGAGAGAAAAGAAAAAGAAAACAUAGAGCAUCUCAUUCUCCUCAAAAAGUUUCAAAAGAGCAAGAAAGGUAUGUAUCCGUUCAAAAGAGCACAAGUAGAAUUAGACGUUCACCAUUGUUAUCACCAUCAUCACCAUACACCAUUCAUUCGCCACACAUGCACAUCUUGAUUUGACUUAUUGACUUGUUCUUCUGGAUCCAUGGUUUGACUAUGCAAUAAAUGUCUUGUAAGUAUGUAUUAGCUGUCUCCCACCUAUGAGCUCCAGAUAUCAAAACCUUAUUAGAGUAGGGUGAGAGAGAAGGCAAUGCCACUAUGCUUCAUACUACAAAUACCACAUACUUUGAGAGAAGGCAUACACCUUUACUGCCUUGGUAAGGAUCUAGAAAUACCACAAAAGAGAGACUAGAGAGAGUCAUAUAAGGAAUCUCUGAGUUUUAUUUGAAAAUCUGCAAAAACUCCAGAGCUAUAGUUGAUCAAGAACAUGAGACAUGGCGCUUGACUAGACCGUUCUAUCUUUUAACUGCUCAAAACACAGGUGAUGGUCGCAAGCCCCAUGGUGAAAGGUAAAUGAGUAAGUUUUAAGUCUUAACAGUUUACUCUAACUUAGAGAUAAAAUCUUGUGUGAAUGCAUGUAUAUCUUUAAGGCAUGAAACCACUGCAGAAACUCUUGAGUUCAUCUUUGCUCAGGGACGAGCAAAGGUUAAGCUUGGGGGAGCUUGUUGACGGUCCUUAAUGCUCACAUUUAACCAUCAACUAAUCAUAGAAAAGGAUCCAAAUGCAACUAACACCUAGACUUAGGGUUUUAUCUGACAGAAUUCCACAAGUUUUGGUGUUUGUCUAUUUCUGCAGGGGGUUAUCAGGAAAUACGGAAGAAAGGCCCACACGUCGGGUUUACAUAGAGAUAUUAACGUGCCGCACAAUUAUCUACCAUCUAGAAGACUCCAGAAGCCAUGGGACCAAAGCGGAGGCCGAGAGGGCUCAGGCACUGGGCGCCCGCCCUACCUUACUGGGCGCCCGCCCUCCCCCCUGGACCAAACAGAGUCCAAUUCGGGGACAACACUCCACCGACCUAAUACUUCAAGGAAAACCACACGAUCAAUGUCGGUUUGAUCCGACGGCCCAGAUUCAAUUGAAGGGACUAUAAAACCAGACCCCCCUGGCCCCUGGAGAUCAUACCUCUUCUACAGAAUCAAAGCUAGGGUUUCAAUUCUUCAUCCAAGUAGAGAGGAUCCCUCUAGUUCUUCUAGUUCUAGUUCUUCUAGUUCUAGUUCUAGUUAGUUCUAGUUGUAAUCUAGAAAAUAGGGAGAGAUAAGAGGAGAGCGGAGGAGGAUCCGGAUCUGUCGGAUCUUCCUCAACAUUAUACUUUUGCAGCAUCUGGUUCGUUCUUCAUCGUUCUCUAGGUUCUUCAAUUCAUAACUCCUGAGUUCUCUAAUUACUUUUAUUUACAUUCAAGUUAUUUAUUGGAUUCCCGCUUGCAUCAAGUGCUCUAGUCUUUAUAACGCUAGAGUAGUAAUUAAUAGAUUAGACGUGGUGUUUAGUCUUGCAAUUACCUGGAAUUGCACCCAAUCCUGCGGAUUGUUGUGGUAGCCUUAGGGUAGUGACAGCCCUAACGGUCGAUGUAUUCCACCACGUUCGGAUCGGUGUUUGUAGGACCGUAGUCAGACCUUCCUAGCCCCCUUCUCAUCUCUUUCUGUGGUUAGUGCUCUGAUGUCCCGAUAUAGAUAAUCUUAAAGUAAUUCUUGAUUCUUAGAUCAACUAGAGAACUCUCAGGAAACUUCCUCUCUUCCCACCAAAAAUAAUCAUAUUAGUUAUCCUUGGGCGAUCUUGGAUCUUAGUUAGUACACUCACGUUCCCUGUGGAAAAUCGAUACUCUGGAAUACUCCCGGGUGAAGGCUACAUCGGUAUCCGUGCGCUUGCGGAUUUUUCUGUUUGCGUUUAAAAUACCCAACAGUCACCUUGCUGAGUUUUGCUUUAGGAGGACGAGAGAUGAGUGGCGACAUUACGAGUUAAACAACCAGAACAUGUACCGCCCACCCCAUGGCGUACAUGUGCCGCCUGUUCAUAGGCGCAGUGCUAGCCCAGAGGUGCAAUGCCUCAAGGUGCUAGGCCUCAGGUUGUGAGACCACACGGUGGUCGUGCCCGACGUGGUUCAGGUCAUGAUCAAUAUGACAUUGAACCUCGUGGCGGUGGCUUUGCUUCUCAGUCCCACAGCUCUAGCGGACCACGUUUCCCUUUCAUGGUGACCGCUUUCCUCAAAUGGGACAUGGCAUGCUUGGUGUUUUUCCUUACACUUUUCUAGGGAAAAUGACCCAACACUGGUAUCCUUCACAGUUUACUAACCCCAGUGUUGCGCCAUUUGCUCACCCCAUGUCUUUCUAUUGAUGCAGAUCGGAAGCUUGGAGAACAUGUGGCUUGUUGAUUCCGGUUGUUCGCGCCACAUGACUGGAAGUUUAAAAUGGUUCUCCAGCCUCGACCCCGUGCAAUGUAAGGAGUACAUCACAUUCGUGGAUAAUAGCAAAGGUAAAGUGCUUUCUCGUGGGACCAUUCGGGUCAAUGAGAAUUUUGUCUUGAAGGAUGUUGCUUUGGUUUCAAAUUUGCAUUUCAACUUGCUUUCAGUUUCGCAACUCCUUCAGGAUGGUUUUGAGAUGCGCUUUAAGACUAGUUUGUCUCGAGUUCUUGAUUCUCAGGGAAAUCUUGUUUGUCAGAUUGUCCCUUUUGGUCGUGUCUUUCGAGCUGAUUUUUCUCACGCUUUUGGCUCUUCUCGUUGUCUUGUGGCUGGAUCCUCCUCUGAUCUUUGGAAGUGGCAUAGGAGACUUGGUCAUUUGAGCUUUGACUUACUAGCUAGGUUGAGCUCACCUGACUUAAUCCGAGGAUUGCCCAAGUUGAAAUUCUAGAAGGAUUUGGUUUGUCAUCCUUGUCGUCACGGGAAGAUGGUUGCCGCUUCUCACCCUCCUGUGACUUAGGUCAUGACCAAGGGACCCGGUGAGCUACUUCAUAUGGACACAGUUGGUCCGGCUCGGGUUCGGUCAGAGGGAGGGAAGUGGUAUGUUCUAGUGAUCGUGGACGAUUUUUCUCACUACUCUUGGGUGUUUUUCAUGGAGGGUAAGGAUGAGGCUUUUUCUCAUGUUCGAGAUUUGAUUCUUCGGUUACAAACUGAGUUGCCUAAGAAUGUCAUGAGAGCUAUAUGCAGUGACAAUGGCAUAGAAUUCAAAAACACUCAGUUUGAUACCUUUUGUGCUUCUUUAGGUCUCGAGCACCAGUUUUCCUCUCCUUAUGUUCCCCAGCAAAAUGGUGUUGUUGAGCGCAAAAAUCGGACCCUUGUUGAGAUGGCCAGCACGAUGCUCGAUGAGCAUAGGACUCCAAGGAGAUAUUGGGCCGAGGCGAUCAACACCGCUUGUCAUGUCUCCAAUCGCAUUUUUCUUCGAGCCUUCUUGAAAAAGAUUCUUAUGAGUUGUGACUUGGUAGACUACACAAGGUAAGUCACUUCAGGGUGUUUGGUUGCAAGUGUUUCAUCUUGAAGCAAGGUAAUUUGGACAAAUUUGAGUCCAGGUCCUCUGAUGGUAUUUUUCUUGGUUAUGCUUCUCAUUCUCAUGCAUAUCGUGUACUUAACCUUAAAACUAACCGAGUUGUGGAGACCUGUGAGGUCACAUUCGAUGAGACUAUGCCUUGUUCUUCUCCUGUCUUUGAAUGUGCAGGUGAUCAGGAGAUUGGUGAAACUAUGUUUGUUGAGGAUGAUGUAGAAGAUGCCGAUUGGGGUGAUCCUGAGCCAACACCACUGGCUGCCCCUCUCGAGUCUUCGACAACUACGUCGCCUGAUGGCCCCGAUCCUUCUUCUUCCACUACUUGGGGUCCGAUCGUGCAGCCUCCUCAACCUACACUGGCUGUUCCUGAGGAGGCCCCAGCUGUAGUUGAGGGGGAGGCGACUUCUUCAAGGGAAGCACCUCGACACAUUCAGCGUCGCCAUCCACCUCAGACCAUGAUUGGUGAAAUUGACCAGCGAGCCACACGGUCCAGGUCAUAUCACAUCUCACACUUCGCUCACUCUGCUUUUGUUGCUUCUUUUGAGCCUCGAGAUGUUGGACACACACUAUCUAAUCCUGAUUGGGUUAAUGCUAUGCAUGAGGAGUUAGAAAAUUUUGAGAGAAACAAUGUUUGGGUUUUAGUACCACUUCCACCAUAUUGCCAUCCCAUAGGUACCAAGUGGGUUUUCAAAAACAAAUAGAGUGAAGAUGGGGUGGUAGUGUGGAACAAGGCUAGGUUGGUAGCUCAAGGUUUUUGUCAGAAAGAGGGGAUAGACUAUGAGGAAACCUUUGCUCCUGUUGCCCGUCUAGAAGCCAUUAGGAUCCUUUUAGCUUUUGUAGCUUCAAAAGGGUUCAAGCUGUAUCAGAUGGAUGAGAAGAGUGCUUUCUUGAAUGGGUGUAUAGAGGUGUAUGUGAUACAACCCCCUGGCUUUGAAAAUCCUAAGAUUCCUAACCAUGUUUUUAAACUCCACAAAGCCUUGUAUGGUCUAAAACAAGCCCCGAGAGCCUGGUAUGAGCAUUUGAAAGCCUUCUUGCUUGGAAAGGGGUUUAAAAUGGGUUUUAUUGAUAAAACGUUGUUUCUCCUCAAGCAAGGCACUGACACUCUUUUGGUUCAGAUAUACGUGGAUGAUAUCAUUUUCGGUGGCUCUUCUCACGUACUUGUUGGCAAGUUUGCAGAAACUAUGAGCAGAGAAUUUGAGAUGAGCAUGAUGGGCGAGUUGACGUUCUUUCUUGGUUUGCAAAUCAAGCAAACUAGAGAAGGGACGUUUGUGCACCAAGGCAAGUACACCAAGGACGUACUCAAGAAAUUCGAUAUGGGCGAGGCCAAGCCUCUCUCGACGCCCAUGUCGACCACGACGGCCCUGGAUGCAGAUGAAGAAGGAGAAGCUGUGGACCAGAAGGAGUACCAAGCAUGAUCGGGUUGCUUCUGUACCUGACGGCGACAAGACCAGACAUCCAGUUCGCGGUCUGCUUGUGUGCGCGCUUUCAGUCUUCAUCGCGCACAUCUCAUCGUCAAGCUGUCAAGCGGAUCUCGAGGUACCUUCGUUUCACACCUGAGCUUGGUCUUUGGUUUUCAGCUUCCUCCUCUCUUUCUCUUUGCGGCUAUUCUGAUGUGGAUUAUGUCGGCUGCCGUGUUGAGCGCAAGUCCACGUCGGGAACUUGCCAAUUUCUUGGGACUUCUCUUGUGUCUUGGUCCUCUCGCAAGAAAUCCUCAGUUGCUCAAUCCACCAUAGAAGCUGAGUAUGUUGCUGCUGCUGCUUGCUGCUCCUAGUUGGUUUGGAUGAUAGCCACUCUGAGAGACUUUUGGUUAGAGUUUAGGCGAGUGCCUUUGCUUUGUGAUAGCACCAGUGCCAUAAGCGUUGCUAAAAACCCAGUUCUCCACUCAAAAACCAAGCAUAUAGUUGUCCGCUUUCAUUUCCUGCGUGACCACUAUGAGAAAGGAGAUAUUGAUCUACACCAUGUUGAUACCCAAAAUCAGCUUGCAGACAUCUUUACCAAACCCCUUGACCAAGCCCAGUUUGCUCGCUUGCGAGGGGAGCUUGGAGUUUGUUUCCCUUUUUAGUUGAGGGGUACUUUGGUCUUUGUACUCUAGUUUUGUUUUCUUUUAGUUUAGCUUUUAUUUUAUCUUUUGUAUCAUAUUGCAUUGCAUUUCAUCUCAUCAUGUAUAUUAGAGCAUUUUGAGCUUCAUGAUUAUAGUUGUUAGAUUGAGAUUAUGCUCUUUGUGAUAUGUCUUGUAUGUACAUUGUUGACGGUCCUUAAGUAUCAAAUUUAAUUAACAAAUAAACAAAGAAAAGGAUCCAAAUGAAAUCAACAUCUAGACUUAGGGUUUUAUCUGACAGAAUUCUACGAGUUUUGGUGUUUGUCUAUUUCUGCAGGGUGUUAUCAGGAAAUACGGAAGAAAGGCCCACACGUCGGGAUUACAUAGAGAUAUCAAAGUGCCGCGCAAUUACCUAACAUCUAGAAGACUCUAGAAGCCACGAGAACGAAGUGGAGGCCGAACGGAGCCUGGCCCUAGGCGCCCGCCCAGGAGACCAGGGCGCCCACCCCCUUACAGAGUCUAAUCAGAACUCACUUUCAGGAUUACGCUCCACCGACCUAAAGGAUCAAGGAUAACCGUUCAAUCAAUGUCGGUUUGAUCCAACGACCCAUAUUCACUUGAAGGGACUAUAAAACCAGACCCCCUGGCCCCUAGAGAAGAGAGCCUCUCAACCCUAAUUCAUUAUUCCUCAAGGGAGAAGAAGCCUCUGAUCAAGCCUAGAGCCACCACAUCAAUUAGACAUCUAGAUUAGCAUAGCUACAUAGGAUUAGAACUAGAAGGAGUCAAUCUUCGAUUGGUUUCCGGAUCUGUCAAUAGGAUUCUUGGUAAUUCUCUAAUUGUUCUUAUAUUGUUCAUCUUUGUUCUUCAAUAUUAUGAAUAUGACUUUGUUCUACUUCAAUAUAUUGCUUAUGACUUUGCUCUACUUGUUUAUAUUCAAGAUUAUAUUGUUCUUAGUUUAUCAUAGUUAUGUACUUGGCUUAGUUAGAUUGGAUCUAUAUACAUGUUUAGGAUCGUAUAACGUUUAUCCAUCAGAUCCAUGGGUAAAUGAUGGAUAUUGUGUAGGCGUGGUGCUUAUACUGUAUUUAUCUACGAUUGUACCCAAAAUGCUAGAUCGUGGGGUAGUUCGUGAUAGUGACAACUUCAUUGAUUCUUAUAAAGUCCCCCUCUCGUGUAUUGGGCUGGCAGAGCAAUAUUAUUACAUGGGAGUGAUUGCUAUGUUUCUAAUUUUCCUUGCUAAUAUCACUAUGCUUGGGCGUAGUCUUUUCUCGCAAUGAUUGCUAAGUAUGCUUGCACUAACUAUGAUAAUGCUAGACUGUAUAGUUGAGAAUAACAUAGGAAAUAUUCUUGUAGUUCGUUCUAAUACCAUGCUAAUGACUUGCUAGAAUAUCUAAUUGAGGUGCUUAUCAUAUUUAUAUGUGGCUAAGUUAUGUUGAUUAGAUUAAUUAUCUUUGUCACUAUUCAUUACUUCAUAUAUCCUUUAUGUGACACUUAUCCCUGUAUGAAAGAGUUAGAUAAAUGUUCUCAAUUAUACAUGCAAUGAUAGAUACUCAAUCUUAUAUUCCAUUCUAUAAUCAACAUUGAUGGUUACUAAUCCCUUCCCAGUGGUAAAAAUAUAAAUAACGAUACCCGGUUAAAAUGCUACAUCGGUAUUAAUCUGUGCGCUUGCAGAUCCCAUUCAUUAUUUAUUUAGAUGAGCAAUUGCAUAUUUCAAUACCGCGUCUCUCAUGUCAUGCUAGGGAUGACAACUUGGCUUAAGUGGUAUGAGAGAUAGGUUUGGCAUUUUUGGCACCGUUACCAAAAUUAGAAACUGUCUACUUUUGGUAGUGAUAUUAAGAAUACCCAACAUACAUGAUGGUGCUUGUCACUUAGGCUCUUUUUGAUCACUUGAUGCAUGUUAUGAGCUAAGUUUGUUUUACAACUUGUGAACUUGACAUAAACCUAUUGAAACCUAAAAAUUGUUCACCAUUGUGAUUGGCAACUAGCAUGUGUAGGAUGUGUUGAGAUCACUUGAGCUAUCAUUUAUAUGCUAGGUUGCUAUGUCUCAUGCUUUGAGUUAUACACUUGCUUGGACAACUUGCAAAUUCUUGUGCUAAAAAUUGAAAAUCAAGCUAAGUGAAAAGAAAAGAUCGAGAUGGGUCUAUACUAUCCUACGUUAAGGUAUCAAGACUGCUUCCAAUUGCACUUAUGGAUGAACUUGAGCCUUGUAGUGGAUGCUGAGAUCAUUGUCUUAAGCUUGUGAUUGUCUCUGACAUAGGCUUGGCAUGGUCGAUAAGUUGGUUUGACGGUACAGAUAACCUCUCGCACUCACACAUGUUUUUGACUAAACCUUGUGAUAUGCUACAAACUCUGAUAAAAUGAAAAUUUGAGGAAAACACAAGUCUAAAGUUAGUCUUUGACAUGAUGUAUGAACACUACUUGGGGUAGUUCACCUUGUAUACACUUGAUUAGCACUAGGUUGAUUUCCUGCUUAUACCUUCUAUGUGCUACUUUCAGUGGUGAACUCCUUCUUACAAUUGCUUAAAAUUGUUUAAAAAUGCUUAAAUGCUAUAUUUCAUUUCACUUGAUCAGUCUGAGCAUUUGCUAGCACUUGUACUUCUUGCUAUACACACAUGACAGCACCACCUAGAGCAUCUUUUCAAUAUGAUUGCUAUACUCCUGAAGCUUCUACAUUUGUGCAAUUCUUGCAUUCAUAGCAUGAUUUGAGGGGGAUUUGCAAUCCUUUGGGCAAAUAUUGAUAAGUGCAUGUGUCAACAAGGGGGAGAAAGUUACACACAAAAAGAGAGACAUGCAUUCAUUUGAGAGAUAUUGCAUUUGCUUAGGGGGAGUUGCAUUUAAGUUGCUUGUGCUAGAUGUGUUGAACCUUUGCCUCUUCUAGAGGGUCUAGUUUUUUUUCUGGCUUUUUGAGCUUUGCUAGUGGUGUUGAGCCCGUUGUCUCUUCUUGAGAGCUAGCUUUGUGGUUCUUGAUCGUGUCGAGCCUUUGCCCAUGUCUUUGGGGAUCAAGCUUUGUUUAUUUGAAAUGACCCGUUUUUGGCUUCUCUUUGGCUUUUGGUCAUUUCGAUGAACUCUUUGCUCUUCUCUUGUUUUUCUUUUCUUAUGCUCAAGCUGUUCGUGUGAGUGUGUUGACAAUGCACUCAUCAAGGGGGAGAUUGCAAACACAAGGUCGAGAAGUACCCUUGUGUUUCAUUUUGUGAUGAGUGAUGGUAAACGUGAUCCACGAAUAGGUUGAUAUGGUGACUAACAUUACCAUGGUGAAAGCUAUGUGUGCGAUAUGUCUCUUGCCUUAUGGUGUUCAGAUGUGGAGCUCAGAGGCCGUGGUCGAUGGCGAGGAGAAGGUCAAGUAGAGACGUGCCAUGCCGAUGGACCUGGAGCGGUGAAGGACGGACGUGAGGGUUGGACUGACGGACCAGGAGGCCGGAUGACCAGCUGUAGUGGCUGACAUCCGGGACAUCGACAAGUGCAAGUGUACAUGGGAGUGACCAUGUUGACCAAGUCAAGACGGCGGACGCAAGUCGAGCGAGGCUCAGAAGGACUUGGCGGGCCGGCCGUCGAGGACGGCGGUGACAUGUGUCGAGCAGCAGGGGAAGCGUAUGGAGUACGCUACUCGCGGCGGGUUUCGCGGGUUUGAGCCUCAAAACCCGGGCGGAGGUUCUAAGGCGGAACAGACGACACAUGGCGGCAUCGGUGAGAUCACUUCAGAGCGAGGCUACCGGUGAGGAGGCGCAGUGGCCGUCGGAUUUAGCUCAUGUCGAGUUGGACUAGAAUGCCUCUGGGGCUAGCUAGUUCAAUCAAAAAUAGCUAGGGGCAUUUGAGGACAGUGUAAUAUGCCCGAUAAAUAAGGAGAGGGAGCCCCUCAUCUCCCUCACCUCUCCUAUCUUCAUUUCUGAGUCAUCUCUUUAGGGUAUCCUUCUUUAGAGUUCCUGUGCAAGGGAGGUCAACAAUUUUUGUUUUGUAUCUGUGUAUGUUAGCCAAAUUGUUGCAAACACACAUGUAAUUUUUCGUUUCAGUUAGUAUCAAUCAGGUUAGGGGCAGGUCAUAAGCAUGCAUGACUGGGACACAGCCCGAGUCCGUCGAGUCGGUCCUCGCCAUGUCGUGCGCGGCGCAUGUGGCACACACCAUCAAACAGUGCGGCGCAUCUGCAAGGCGUGGCGGGGAGGGAGUCUGUAUCAAACAGAGUAUAAAUACAAUAGAGGCCGAGGGGGGCUGCGGGUUGGCAGCACCGAAAAUAAUCUAUCUUUCUCGCGUGAAUCUGUUGUGCGUGUUUCCAUCUUAACAUGCUCUCGCCGCGGUCACCGAGCCGACCCGCCAGCGCGACGAUCUUGCUCAACAGCCAAGCUCCGUUCCAACAAUUGGCAUCAGAGCCGUAGGGCGCUGGAGAGGAGGUGGUAAGAGGUAGUAGAGGAAGCUGAGUCAAUGAGAUCAUCAAAUCAGAGAAAGAGGAGGCAUGAACCCGAAUCUCGCCGAGAUGUCGUCACCACCACACACAGGCAUAUCGGGAGAAAAGGAGGUCAUGGAGCGUGUUUUCAACCAGGCGGCGGCGAACCUUGUUGACGGUCCUUAAGUAUCAAAUUUAAUUAUCAAAUAAACAAAGAAAAGGAUCCAAAUGAAAUCAACAUCUAGACUUAGGGUUUUAUCUGACAGAAUUCCACGAGUUUUGGUGUUUGUCUAUUUCUGCAGGGGGUUAUCAGAGAAUACGGAAGAAAGGCCCACACGUCGGGAUUACAUAGAGAUAUUAACGUACCGCGCAAUUAUCUUACAUCUAGAAGACUCCAGAAGACACGGGAAGGAAGCGGAGGCCGAACGGGGCUAGGACCCGGGCGCCCGCCCUCCUGCUGAGUCCAAUCAGGACUCUGUUUCGGGGAAGAUCUCCACCGACCUAAAGGAUCAAGGAUAACCGUUCAAUCAAUGUCGGUUUGAUCCAACGGCCCAUAUUCACUUGAAGGGACUAUAAAAGCAGACCCCCUGGCCCCUAGAGGAGAGAGCCUCUCAACCCUAAUUCAUUAUUCCUCAAGGGAGAAGAAGCCUCUGAUCAAGCCUAGAGCCACCACAUCAAUUAGACAUCUAGAUUAGCAUAGCUACAUAGGAUUAGAACUAGAAGGAGUCAAUCUUCAAUUGGUUUCCAGAUCUAUCAAGAGGAUUCUUGGUAAUUCUCUAAUUGUUCUUAUAAUUGUUCAUCUUUGUUCUUCAAUAUUAUGAAUAUGACUUUGUUCUACUUCAAUAUAUUGCUUACGACUUUGCUCUACUUGUUUAUAUUCAAGAUUAUAUUGUUUUUAGUUUAUCAUAGUUAUGUACUUAGCUUAGUUAGAUUUGAUCUAUAUACAUGUUUAGGAUCGUAUAUCGUUUAACCAUCGGAUCCAUGGAUAAAUGACAGAUAUUGUGUAGGCGUGGUGCUUAUACCGUAUUUAUCUGCGAUUGUACCCAAUAUGCGAGAUCGUGGGGUAGUUCGUGAUAGUGACAGCUUCAUUGAUUCUUAUAUAGUCCCUCUCUCGUGCAUUGGGCUGGCAGAGCAACAUUAUUACAGGGGAGUGAUUGCUAUGUCUCUUAUUUACCUUGCUAAUAUCACUAUGCAUGGGCGUUGUCUUGUCUCGCAAUGAGUGCUAAGUAUGCUUGCACUAACUAUGAUAAUGCUAGACUAUAUAUUUGAGAAUAACUUAGGAAAUAUUCUUGUAGUUCGUUCUAAUUCCAUGCUAAUGACUUUCUAGAGUAUCUAAUUGAGGUGCUUAUCAUAUUUAUUAUGUGGCUAAGUUAUGCUGAUCAGAUUAAUUAUCUUUGUCACUAUUCAUUACUUCAUAUAUCUUUUAUGUGACACUUACCCCUGUAUGAAAGAGUUAGAUAAAUGUUCUCAAUUAUAUAUGCAAUGAUAGAUACUCAAUCUCAUAUCAAUGAUUGUUAAUCCCUUCCCAAUGGUAAAAAUAUAAAUAACGAUACCUGGAAUACUUCCCGGUUAAAAUGCUACAUCGGUAUUAAUCUGUGCGCUUGUAGAUCCCAUUCAUUAUUUAUUUAGAAGAGCAAUUGCAUAUUUCAAUACCGCGUCUCUCAUGUCAUGCUAGGGAUGACAACUUGGCUUAAGUGGUAUGAGGGAUAGGUUUGGCAUUUUUGGCACCGUUUCUAGAAUUAGAAACUGUCUACUUUUGGUAAUGAUGUUAAGAAUACCCAACAAGCAUUUUUGGCGCCGUUGCCGGGAAGGUUGAUUACUAAUCAAGAAUGGAUAUAGAUUUUUGAGUUAUCAUUCGCAUCACUAAUAUGAUUGAGCUUAUCUAUUCUCUCAUACAGUUUUACCCUGAUAUUUUCUAUUUUUAUCUUAUGCAGAGGAAUGUAUGAAUAGAAGACAUCUUCCAGGAAAUUUUGUUGACAAUCCCGAAGCCUUAUUCAAGAAGACAAGAGCUAAGCUCAAGAAGAGAUCAUCAACACUUCAGCAAGAAGCUUCAUCCAAUCAAGAAGAUCACUGGAACUUGUCUUCAGAGUUCGAAGCCAUGGUGAACAAAUCAAUCCGCGAGUUCUCAGCUCCCACUACGGACAACAUCCGCACUGGACCUGCUGCAGAGAUCGAUGCCAACUUUAAGCUCAAGCCUGGACUUAUCAACAUGGUGCAAUCCAACCAGUUCUGUGGGAAGGCACACGAAGAUGCUAGUGCUCAUCUCCAACACUUCCUGGAGAUUUGCAACACAUUUACCAUAUCAGGAGUCCCCAGAGAUGCUAUACUACUUCGCCUCUUCCCAUUCUCACUGUUAGGGUGUUGACGGUCCUUAAUGCUCAUAUUUAAUCAUCAAUUAAUCAUAGAAAAGGAUCCAAAUGCAACCAACACCUAGACUUAGGGUUUUAUCUGACAGAAUUCCACAAGUUUUGGUGUUUGUCUAUUUCUGCAGGGGGUUAUCAGGAAAUAUGGAAGAAAGGCCCACACGUCGGGUUUACAUAGAGAUAUUAACGUGCCACGCAAUUUUCUAUCAUCUAGAAGACUCCAGAAGCCACGGGACCGAAGCGGAAGCCGAGAGGCCUCAGGGACAGGGCGCCCGCCCUAGUCCUGAGGGCGCCCGCCCACCUCUUUCCACCAAUCAGGGUGAAGUUCGAGGAUCAUGCUCCACCGACCUAAUAGUUCAAGGAAAACCACACGAUCAAUGUCGGUUUGAUCCGACGGCCCAGAUUCACUUGAAGGGACUAUAAAACCAGACCCCCCUGGCCCCUGGAGAUCAUACCUCUUCUACAGAAUCAAAGCUAGGGUUUCAAUUCUUCAUCCAAGUAGAGAGGAUCCCUCUAGUUCUUCUAGUUCUACUUCUAGUUCAUCUAGAUCUAGUUCUAGUUCAUCUAGUUCUAGUUCUAGUUCUUCUAGUUCUAGUUCUAGUUAGUUCUAGUUGUAAUCUAGAAAAUAGGGAGAGAGAAGAGGAGAGCGGAGGAGGAGCCGGAUCUGUCGGAUCUUCCUCAACAUUGUACUUUUGCAGUAUCUGGUUCAUUCUUCAUCGUUCUCCAGGUUCUUCAAUUCAUAAUUCCUGAGUUCUUUAAUUACUUUUAUUUACAUUCAAGUUAUUUAUUGGAUUCCCGCUUGCAUCAAGUGCUCUAGUCUUUAUAACGCUAGAGUUGUAAUUAAUAGAUUAGACGUGGUGUUUAGUCUUGCGAUUACCUGGAAUUGCACCCAAUCCUACGGAUUGUUGUGGUAGCCCUAGGGUAGUGACAGCCCUAACGGUCGACGUAUUCCACCACGUUCGGAUUGGUGUUUGUAGGACCGUAGUCAGACCUUCCUAGCCCCCUUCUCAUCUCUUUCUGUGGUUAGUGCUCUGAUGUCCCGAUAUAGAUAAUCUUGAAGUAAUUCUUGAUUCUUAGAUCAACUAGAGAACUCUCAGGAAACUUCCUCUCUUCCCACCAAAAACAAUUAUAUAGUUAUCCUUGGGCGAUCUUGGAUCUUAAUUAGUACACUCACGUUCUCUAUGGAAAAUCGAUACUCUGGAAUACUCCCGGGUGAAAGCUACAUCGGUAUCCGUGCGCUUGCGGAUUUUUCUGUUUGCAUUUAAAAUAUCCAACAAGCUUUCUGGCGCCGUUGCCGGGGAACGGUAGCUGUGCUAGUUUCGAAUCAAGUCGCCCGUAUAUCCUUUUUCUUUUCCUUUUUUUACCACACUCACCUUAUCAUUUUCACCGUACCAUAUGGAUUUCACUCUAAGCAUUAAUAAGCAUGGAAUUUAUUUCAUAGCCACUUCAUUUACUACAUGCUCAUAUGCAACAUCUUCACAAUCCAUUGGUCUCUCCAACAUCACCACAUUCGAGAUCUGCAACCCCCUCUUCCUUUCUAUUUAUAAAAACUUUAAAAGGGAGGUUGUCGAUGCAUAUGUUUAUAAUAAAUUUUGCAGAUCUCGUUGAGUUAAUCUUGAUAUAGGUCAGCGUUGGAGGGGAAACCACUUCACUGACAUAAAUUGAUGGUUUCCCAAGGACAAGCUUAGUGUCCUAAAACAAGCACUGAUCAGAUUGUAACAUGAGCUUUUAAUUAUUUGCAACAUUAACUUGUGUAUUGAGCAUAUAAGGAUAAUUGUAAAAAAAUUCCUUCGGGUAUUCUUGUCACUAACCUUUCCAGGAUUGGAGCAAGAAGAUCGGAUGAAUGACAAGCACAAGGUAUGUACAACCAAUCAUCAUACAACAUUGAAUUAAAUUCAUCCAAACUUGAAUUUUGCAAAAUUCAAGCUUGGGGGAGUACUUUACAUAAAAACAUCCUUUGCCAUGUUGCUAUAUUGGUUAACCCUACCAUUGAGACAUGCUCAAUUUGCUAAAUACUAAUCACACUACUUCAUCUCCACUUGAGUAGAUCUCUAUAAAUGCUCUCAUGCUACCUUUAUUUGCUUUAGUAUAUGUCUAGGCUUGGAGUAGUUUCAUUUAUCUCUUAAUUAAGCAUGGUGCUUAGUUUAGGAAUGAUGAUCUUACUUCCAAGGGAUUUUAAAUUAAGCAUGAUGCUUAGGUUAAAAUGCCCCCCUAAAUCAAAUUAGACAUGGUGUCUAGGUUGAUCUUUGAGCCGAUAGUAUGCUAUAGUGGAUAUUGGAUAUUUUGUUGGACUAACCCCUGCAGGAAAACUUUCACUAUCGACCUGGUAAGUCCUAAGAUAAACUCACAUUGGAGACAAAGAGAGAGACACAUGAAGUUUAACAAUUUACACAAGGAAGGCAUAGCUCACAAGAGAUGAUCCAUGGAGGGUGCCACAAACACGAUGCACAACCGCUAAGAAAGGAAAGCUUCCACAAGGUGAUACUGUACCAUCACUCUUCAAGUAAGGUAACAUCUUAAAGUACUUGUCUAUCACUUUUAUAAGUUUCUCCUUGGUUCUAGCGUUCACAUGAAUAAAAGAGACAAACAUGUAUGAUUUACAACUCUAGAUUAACCAACCCAAUCGUUUCAACAUGUUUAGUCCUUCCACCUUUGUGAUCCCACACUCCUAAUCAUAUGAACUAAAAUGUUGCACACUUAAUCUUUGGAAAAUGAUAGUCAUGUAAAGAAAAAAUAUUUACUUAGAUAGACAUAGGGUUGAGUGAUCUAAUCUGACAAAUGUUUUAAAUGUUACACUCAUGGUCUUAUUAUCCAUCAACUUUGUCUUUCUCACUAUGCUUAAGGUUAGAGAGAACAAAUACACUUUUGGUUCUGUUGGUGUUUUCCACCAACAGGGCCCAUGCACUUGAUCUCUGCCUUGUCUCUAUGAGCAGGUACACUUUGAGCAAAAUAUGAAGGACUUUUACAACUCCCAGACUCCACGAAGUCAAGAACCUAGAUCUACGAGCACAAACACACUGGAGAUACUGGACACUCAGGCAAUCACUGCCCUGAGAUGCUUGAGGACGUAACUACUGGAGUAACCCCGUUGUGGAAGUAAUUACUAACCUUCUGUCGGUCAAGAGAGGCGAUCCAGGACGCCCCAUCAUCCCGAUCUCCAUCGGCAUGGUGGACUUCCCAGAAGCACUCUGCGACUUUGGCUCCAGCGUCAACAUUAUGCCCAGGGGAAUAUUGAAGAACCUCUACGUCCGAGUUGGUACCUUGUAUGUCCCAGCAGACUUCGUAGUGAUAGAGACCGGUAAUGAUGCGAGGGCACCCAUCAUUCUAGGGAGGCCAUUCCUGAACACCUCGGGAGCUGUCAUCUACGCUAGUGCUGCCAGAUAAGUUUUUACACUCAAGGGAAGAAAGGAGACGUUUUCCUUCAAGAACAAGACUACACAAAUCUCAGAGCAUUCCCGACAUGAACCAAGGAAGAGGACCAACAGGAGGGACAGGAACAAGCAAAUGUGGACCAAGUCAGCUAAGAUGGUCACUGCAGUUCAAGGAGGUCAAGAUUGUUGAUUUAAGUCACCAUUCCUGACCAAAAAGGACGACCCAAGUAUGCCAAGCAUCCAGUGCUCCAUUAAUGGAUACAACUUCCAGAAGAAGCUUUGCGACACCGGGUCAGGCGUCAACAUAAUGGCCGCAGUCACCUAUCAACUCUUGUUUGGAACCAUGCCCCUAAAACCGAUAUACAUUCAGCUCCAGAUGGCAGAUCAGACAUUCCGAAAGGUUAUUGACAUGGGAGAAGACGAGUACAAUCCACCCAUCACCCUUGGAAGACCGUUCCUCAGCACCAUUAAAGCAAUCAUCUACAUUGGAACCGGAGAAGUCCACAUGUACUUUCCCCUCAGAGAAGGUACGCCACUGUUUUACUGACCCUAACUAUAUAGUUGAAGACUCUAAGCAGGUCAGGACAAGAAGACGAUGAUGCAGCCGCAACCAGAGGAGGCAAAUCAUCAAGGACGGAUGGGUAGACUAUGAAGGAGAAGUUGUAAGGUCUGAAGACAUAAAGCUUGAACAGAACUGUCCUGAGGAGACCGUAGCACCGAGUCAGGUGUGGAGAGAGAAGAUAGUUAUACACGAAGACCAGGCACCGCCGGAACCACCGACUACGCCAUCCAGCGAAUCCCAGGACGACUGAGAAAAUGGAGAGUCCCGUUCGGAGGACUUAAAAACACCGAACGCCUUGCCAAGAGGUAAACUUGGUAGUUAUCUUUUUCCUUUCAAUUAUUUAAAAUAGUUUGCUUAGUUAAUCAGGUUCAUAUCAUCUUGAAAAGAAAAUAAAAAUAUUGAAGAUAGUAAGCCCCAUGUGAGUAUGCUCAUGGCAUAAAACCCAUAAGUACAUUCACUGUGGUGGCAUAAAAAUAAAAUAAAUAUAUUCAUGUUCUAUAAAAAUGAAAAUAUAAAAAUAAAUUUAUGAUCCUACUAAAGAGAGUAACAUUUAUUGAGGAGGCUCAACAUGAUAAAGGCUAGAUAUUUAUGCUAACACUUAACCAGUUCCACAAAGCUUUGUUGUCUAUUUGAGUUCCACAAAAUUCAAGGAUCAAAGAAAACUAGCCGAUGGAGGACAUCCUAAUCACUGUCAGGAUGCUGCUGACAUUCAAAUACAUCUCCACCACCUGCUAGCUACAUCAGAAGAAAUUGCGUCAAAAUCCAGCUUGGGGGAGAGCACCCCCAUUUAUCGAGCUAAGUAUUCUACUCACGUUUAUACUUUACUCUAAUAAUAAAAAGAUGCAUAAUCAUAGAAACCAAAAUAAAGAUUUUGUGCUUAUAUAUAUCUUUACUUAUCUUGCUAAAUAAAUAAAUAAAUAAAGUUUGCUAUCAACCCUCAUGAUAAGCUCUCACAUGGAAAUAAUGAAUAGUUGCUUUGCCAUGACUAGUUCUUAAAACUGAAAUCUCUCUCAAGUUUAGGCUUGACUGUUAUGAAUUAAGAUUUGCUCUAAACCUGAACUUGUGGGGAGAAUAUUUGAUCUAAAGUCUAAGUCGUUAACGGAUACGAUAUGGGAAGGUUGAGCUGCUGUUUAUCUGUUCCUAGAGAUGCUAGAAUUCUGGAGAAUUUUAUCUUUGAAAAUCUUUAAAAUGUUGCUUGAUGAGUUCCUGUAUGAUGAGAGUUUAAAUUCCUACCACAGCCAUAUAUACAUGCUUGCUAGACUAUGAGCCACACAUUUACUUUUUACUGCUUAUGAGCAUUGAGUGUGGUCAAGCUGUGUAGACCCUUAGGAGCUUGUCAUGUGGUUAAGUCAAGAUUCACUUGCACGUUCACUCAUACAUGCUACUUCUACUCUGGAAGUACCAUCCACAUAUACCCAUUUCCAUCUCCAGAACCACCCAAAAAUAUUCUACUCCUAAUCCGGGAGAGAAUAGCCAAAAAUAUUUCUAUUUUUUCUCUGUGAAAUAAAUGCUCAAGUUAUCUUGUUACUACCACUUGCUAUAUUAUCUCAUGAGAUGAGUGCUCUAAAGAAAAAAAAGAGAAAAAAAAAGAAUACGAGGAAAUAAAAAGGGGCAAGUGCCCGGAACCUCGAAAGAAAGAAAAAGUGAAACGAGAGGUAAAAAUGGACAAGUGUCCGACAGUAGAAUUAGGGGUACAAGAUACCCACCUGAGAGAAAAGAAAAAAGAAAAUAUAGAGCAUCUCAUUCUCCUCAAAAAGUUUCAAAAGAGCAAGAAAGGUAUGUAUCCCCUCAAAAGAGCAAAAGUAGAAUUAGACUUUCACCAUUAUCACCAUCAUCACCAUACACCAUUCAUUCACCACACAUGCACAUCUUGAUUUGACUUAUUGACUUGUUCUUCUGGAUCCAUGGUUUGACUAUGCAAUAAAUGUCUUGUAAUUAUGUAUUAGCUGUCUCCCACCUAUGAGCUCCAGAUAUCAAAACCUUAUUAGAGUAGGGUGAGAGAGAAGGCAAUGUCACUAUGCCUCAUACCAAAAAUACCACAUACUUUGAGAGAAGGCAUACACCAUUACUGCCUUGGUAAGAAUCCAAAAAUACCACAAAAGAGAGACUAGAGAGAGUCAUACAAGGAAUCUCUGAGUUUUAUUUGAAAAUCUGCAAAAAACUCCAGAGCUAUAGUUAAUCAAAGAACAAGAGACAUGGCGCUUGACUAGACUGUUCUAUCUUUUAACUACUCAAGACACAAGUGACGGUUACAAGUCCCAUGGUGAAAGGUAAAUGAGUAAGUUUUAAGUCUUAACAGUUUACUCUAACCAGAGAUGAGAUCUUGUUUAAACGCAUGUGUAUCUUUAAGGCAUGAAACCACUGUAGAAACUCUUGAGUCCAUCUUUGCUCAGGGACGAGCAAAGGUUAAGCUUGGGGGAGCUUGUUGACGGUCCUUAAUGCUCAUAUUUAACCAUCAAUUAAUCAUAGAAAAGGAUCCAAAUGCAACCAACACCUAGACUUAGGGUUUUAUCUGACAGAAUUCCACAAGUUUUGGUGUUUGUCUAUUUCUGCAGGGGGUUAUCAGGAAAUAUGGAAGAAAGGCCCACACGUCGGGUUUACAUAGAGAUAUUAACGUGCCACGUAAUUUUCUAUCAUCUAGAAGACUCCAGAAGCCACGGGACUGAAGCGGAAGCCGAGAGGCCUCAGGGACAGGGCGCCCGCCCUAGUCCUGAGGGCGCCCGCCCACCUCUUUCCACCAAUCAAGGUGAAGUUCGAGGAUCAUGCUCCACCGACCUAAUACUUCAAGGAAAACCACACGAUCAAUGUCGGUUUGAUCCGACGGCCCAGAUUCACUUGAAGGGACUAUAAAACCAGACCCCCCUGGCCCCUGGAGAUCAUACCUCUUCUACAGAAUCAAAGCUAGGGUUUCAAUUCUUCAUCCAAGUAGAGAGGAUCCCUCUAGUUCUUCUAGUUCUACUUCUAGUUCAUCUAGAUCUAGUUCUAGUUCAUCUAGUUCUAGUUCUAGUUCUUCUAGUUCUAGUUCUAGUUAGUUCUAGUUGUAAUCUAGAAAAUAGGGAGAGAGAAGAGGAGAGCGGAGGAGGAGCCGGAUCUGUCGGAUCUUCCUCAACAUUGUACUUUUGCAGUAUCUGGUUCGUUCUUCAUCCUUCUCCAGGUUCUUCAAUUCAUAAUUCCUGAGUUCUUUAAUUACUUUUAUUUACAUUCAAGUUAUUUAUUGGAUUCCUGCUUGCAUCAAGUGCUCUACUCUUUAUAACGCUAGAGUAGUAAUUAAUAGAUUAGACGUGGUGUUUAGUCUUGCGAUUACCUGGAAUUGUACCCAAUCCUACGGAUUGUUGUGGUAGCCCUAGGGUAGUGACAGCCCUAACGGUCGACGUAUUCCACCACGUUCGGAUUGGUGUUUGUAGGACCGUAGUCAGACCUUCCUAGCCCCCUUCUCAUCUCUUUCUGUGGUCAGUGCUCUGAUGUCUCGAUAUAGAUAAUCUUGAAGUAAUUCUUGAUUCUUAGAUCAACUAGAGAACUCUCAGGAAACUUCCUCUCUUCCCACCAAAAACAAUUAUAUAGUUAUCCUUGGGCGAUCUUGGAUCUUAAUUAGUACACUCACGUUCUCUGUGGAAAAUCGAUACUCUGGAAUACUCCCGGGUGAAAGCUACAUCGGUAUCCGUGCGCUUGCGGAUUUUUCUGUUUGUGUUUAAAAUACCCAACAUAGGGAGAGCGAAGCAGUGGUUCUACGCUACAAAGGAGAAGAAUACUACGUGGGCACUCUGCUCAACAAACUUCCUGGCUAAGUUCUUUCCCAUGGGCAAGACCAAUGCUCUCCAUGGGAAGAUUACAAGUUUUCAGCAACAAAAUGAUGAAUCCGUUCUAGAAGCAUGGGAGCGCUUCCAAGACUACAUCCUAGAAUGUCCCCAUCAUGGAAUGGAGAGUUGGCUGUUGAUGCAGACGUUUUAUCAUGGGCUCGGCAACAGUGCCCGAGAGACCAUGGAUGCUGCAGCUGGAGGAGCAUUCUUAUCACUUACCAUAUCACAAGCCACAGCUCUUGUGGAGAAAAUGGCGUCCAACCAAAGCUGGAAUGAAGAAAGGACCCAGACACGCAAGAGAGGUGGAGGUAUGCAUCAGCUCAAGGAGGUAGACAUGCUGUCUACAAAACUAGACCUACUCAUGAAGAAGCUCGAUGAUAGAUCUGGAGAUAAGAAACAAGUUAUGUACAUCUACGACUCUCACAUGACUUGUGAGGAGUGUGGAGACACUGGACACUCAGACAAUCACUGCCCUGAGAUGCUUCAGGAUGUGAACUACAUCAACAACAACAACUACUACUACUACUACUACAACCGUCCUCAACAAAAUCAAGGUUGGAAUCAACAGAGGCCUAACUACUCAGGUAAUUAUCAAUGUAACAAUUCUUACAACAAUACUAAUAAUUUUCCACCUCUGAGAGAGUUAGUGUCUAAUCAAGGAAAGCUAAUGGAUAACCUAUCUAAGAAAUUGGCAUCAAAUGAUAAAAUGCUAGAAAAUAUAAAUAAUAGAAUGGAUAAUUUCUCUACUGCCAUCAAGAAUCAAAUUAGCUUUAAUAAAUUGAUUGAAUCUCAGUUAAAUCAUAUAGCUGCUAUUGUUCCUACUACUAACCCUGGUAUACCAUCACAACCGGAAGGAUUAGAAUCUGCAAAUCUUGUAGACAUGUUUGAUGCAGGUGAUAAUUGGAGUAACCCCGUCACUGAAUUCAAUACUGACCUUCUGUCGGUCAAGAGAGGUGAUCCAGGACGCCCUGUCAUCCCGAUCUCCAUCGGCAUGGUGGACUUCCCAGAAGCACUCUAUGACUUUGGCUCCAGCGUCAACAUUAUGCCCAGGGUACUCUAUGAAAAAUUCUUUACAUAUCCUUUAUUAGAAACAACCAUGUGUUUGCAGUUUGCAGAUCAGGCGUUAACUUUCCCAAAGGGAAUAUUGAAGAACCUUUGUGUCCGAGUUGGUACCUUGUACGCCCCAGCAGACUUCGUAGUGGUAGAGACCGGUAAUGAUGAGAGAGCACACAUCAUCUUAGGGAGGCCAUUCUUAAACACCUCGGGAGCUGUCAUCUACGCUAGUGCUGCCAAGAUCAGUUUCUACAUCAAAGGGGAGAAGGAGAAGUUUUUCUUCAAGAACAAGACUACAUAAAUCCCAGAUCAAUCUAGAUGUGAAUCAAGGAAGAGGACCAACAGGAGGAACAGGAACAAGCAAGUGUGGACCGAGUCAGCUAAGAUGGUCACUGCAGUUCAUGGAGGUCAAGAUCAUCAACUUAAGUCACCAUUUUUGACCAAGAAGGACGACCCAGGAAUGCCAAGCAUCUACUGCUCCAUAAAUGGGUACAGCUUCUACAAGACGUUUUGCGACACCGGAUCGGGUGUCAACAUAAUGGCCGCAGUCACCUAUCGGCUCUUGUUCGGAACCAUGCCCUUAACACCAACAUACGUUCAGCUCCAGAUGGUAGAUCAGACAUUUCGAGAAGUUAAAGGAACAGUAACUGAUGUCCCAGUCAAGAUAGACGAUCAUUUUGUCUACACAGACUUUCAGGUUAUUGACAUGGGAGAAGACGAAUACGAUCCACCCAUCAUCCUUGGAAGACCGUUCCUCAGCACCGUUAAAGCAAUCAUCUACAUUGGAACCGGAGAAGUCCAUAUGCACUUCUCCUCAGAGAAGGUAUGCCGUUAUUUUAUUGACCCUAACUAUAUCGUUGAAGAAUCUAAGCAGGUAAGAAAACGACGCAACCACAACCAGAGGAGGCAAAUCAUUAAGGACAGAUGGGCAGACUACGAAGGAGAAGUGAUAAGAUCAGAAGACGUAGAAUUUAAACAGAAUUAUCCAGAGGAGACCGAAGCACCGAGUCAGGUGUGGAAAGAGAAGAUAACCAUACAUGAAGAGGAGGCGCCGCCCGAAGUAUCGACUACGCCACCCAACGAAUCCCAGGACAACUAGAAAACGGAGAGUCCCGUUCGGAGGACUUAAAAACACCGAACGCCUUGCCAAGAGGUAAACUUGGUAGUUAUCCUUUCCCUUUCAAUUAUUUCGAAUAGUUUACUUAGUUAAUUAUGUUCAUGCUAUCCUAAAAAGAAAAUAAAAUGUUAAAAAAUAGUAAGCCCCAUGUGAGUAUACGAGUGGCAUAAAACCCAUAAGUACAUUCACUGUGGUGGCGUAAAAAUAAAAUAAAUAUUUAUUUUCUGCUUUAUAAAAUGAAAAUAUAAAAAACAGGGAGUAACAUUUAUUGAUGAGUCUCAACAUGAUAAAGGCUAGAUAUUUAUGCUAACACUUAAUCAGUUCCACAAAGCUUUGUUGUCUAUUUGAGCUCCACAGAAUUUAAGAAUCAAGAAGACUAGCAGACGGAGGACAUUCUAAUCGCUGUCAGAAUGCUGCUGACUUUCAAAUACACCUCUGCCACCUGCUAGCUACAUUAAGAGAAAUUACGUCAAAAUUCAGCUUGGGGGAGAGCACCCCCAAUUAUACCGAUAAGUAUUUCUAUCUAUCUAUCUUUAUAUUUAUACUAUAUUAAAAUAUAAAUAACUAUGAAAAAACCAAAUAAAGAUUUUAUGCUUAUAUAUAUAUAUGUGUCUUUUGCUUAGUGUGUUUAAUAAAUAAAUAAAGUGGCUAUGCUAAUCUGUAUCUAAAUAAAACUCUAGCAUGGAUAUGAUGAAUAGUUGCUCUGCCUAAUUUGCACAUUUUAAGUUCUCUCUCAAGUUUAGACAUAACUGUUAUAAUUUAAAGCUUGCUCUAGACCUAAACUUGUGGGGUGAAAACUUGAUCUGAAGUCUAAGUUGUUAACGGAUAUGAUAUGGGA
rnacentral:lncRNA from 1 species